rnacentral:lncRNA from 1 species
AUUUCCAAAGGCGAUGAUACUCCAUCAGCAAGUAUUGGAGGACUGUGCGGUGCGUGUUCCAGGGUGUUGGAAAUAGAGCCAAUUUCUUAGCUAAUUGGUAAUGUUAAGUUUGGUGAUGAAAACCUUCUGCCUCUUUUUUAUUUUGUAAUUGCUUGGGUCUAAUUAUGUGGUUGUGUCAAGAGAACAUUGAUGUGUGCGUGAGAGACUCCAUGAGAAAAUAUGUGUGUUUGCUUUGUCUGCUAUGAUUUAUUUGUGCUGUUAUGGCUGCUGGUAAUAUCGUGAAUUGAAUAAUAUUAUUAUUUGCCAUCCUUUAUAUAUAGCCUGUAUAAAGAUAAUUUUAUGAUAUUAUCUACUUUACAAACUCAUUAGAUUUAUGCAACUACAAUUUUAAUAUUAAAUAUUGGAUCACAUUUUUAUAUAGGAUAUGGAUCCAAAAUAAUUCCGUAAGGAUUAAUAAAUCUAACAUAGCUGUAAAACUGGAUAUAAAGUUGAUCAAGAUAAAAUACAGGUUAUGAGUUAAAAAGAUCAUCCUGAGUCAAUUCUCAAAUGUUUUUUUUAAUACAAUAAAAACAAUAUUUUUUUAUAAAAAACAAUUCUAGAAAUUGAGAGCCGGGUGUUGAUCGAUCAGUAGAUUAACUUCAAUUUUUUUAUCAAAUCAACUAAAUUAUUUAUUUAUUUAUUUUAAACCGCUCCAAAUUCUAAAUUAAUUAUAUUUCAAAUCAACCCAGGCUAAAUCCAAGUAAUAUUGUACUGUCUAUUUAUAAAAACCUCUUAAACUUAGACCAGUUAGAUACAUAGGUAGAUAUAAAAGGUAUACCUUACUUUUUUGUAUAACGAAAAUAAAUAUAAAUAAAUUUACAAUACAUAAACAUUAAACAUCUAAAGAUACUUUUUUGGUAUAAAUAUUGCAUCAAUGUCGAAGCUAAAUGAUUGUCUUAGGAUACUUUUAUGAAUAAGGCUAAUUACAAAUAAAUUUGCCAAUGAUUGUUUCCAAACCUAAGAAGUUUGAAUGGAAUAAGUCCUUUUUAUUAGCAAUCUAAAGCAGGAUUGCUAAGACAGGCUUUCGAGCAGGCAGGACAAAUGCCGAUUCUGCCUAUGCCAACUUCCUGUUUCUAGCAAUGAUUCUCUCCAUCAACAUCCAAGGUUUGUCUUAGCAAGAUCCGGCGAAGCCGGUGAAGAGCUUAGGUAUAGAAAGGGACAAAACAAAGAUGGUUAGCUUGAAUUUCAGGAGAAUACUAGAAAGAAAAUAUUAAGAAAUAAGAUUUUGAAUUGAGAGUUUUUUAUAUUAAUCCUAUUUAAUAGAAUUUUAUUUUGCUUAUAAUUGUUGUUAAUGUUAUGCUGUUUCUAUCUACAUCAUAAUUAUGCUUUCUAGCGAUCAUUUAUGCUUUCUAGCUAUCAUUGUAUCUAUUUUCUUAUAUUUAUAUUUUUGUUUUUGCUAUUCUUUGAUGAUUUAACUUAAAAUUAGAGAUUUAUUUUAUUCUUUAAAUAUGUUAAUUUUGUAUUUAUGAGAUUUUUAAAUCAACAUGUCAAAAUUACAUUUAUUAUCAAUUUCACAAACUAAUUUUAGUGGACUUGUCUCAACAUCUCCUGCCGAAUGAUAAAUUAUUAGAACUGUAUAAUGUAUUUAAAGAUAAGAUUGAUCAAAUUAAAGAUGCAAGGAAAAAUUAGAGAAACAUUAUAGGGACAAAUUUAGCUAUCAACAAUAUAUUUUUUAAAAAAUAUAUCUUAUCCCAGUAUGAAUUGAUUAUCUUUGAUAUGUAAAUUGUAAAUAAAUCUUACAAUAAAAAUUUUCAUCCUUUUUUUUCUAUCAAUUUCAUUUUUUUUUAAUUUUAUCUUCAAACUUUUUUACUAGUCACGAUUAGGUUAUAUUUAAACCAAUUAAAUUGACUAAGUCAUGUUGGAAAAACUCUCACACUGUUUAAAAUUAAUUGAGAGGGUUUAAAAUUGAUCUACUAGCCUAGAUUUAAUAAUAAUAUCAAAUAAUUAUCUACUAUCUAAAUAUUUUUUGUUAAGUUCAAAAUCUAAAUUGAAAGAGAAAGGAACAAAAUGUGAAAAACAAAGAAACUUCAUGAUUAGUCUUAAAUUUGCAAAGUGCUUUUAGUUAUCUUGAUUGUACUUUCUCCUAUAAUAUAGCCCAUAUCCCAUAUGUUUUCUGGAUAUUUAAUUUUUAUCUAAAAAUUUAUUUUGUUCUUGAUUUUAAAGAAUAUUUAUAUUUGGAUCAUGUUUUAGUAAUAAAAAAAUAAAAUAUUUUUAUUUGAAUCAUAUUUUAAAUUAAAAUUUAAACACUCAUAUCAGGCCUUAUUUUUAUCAUUCAUCAUCAAAACUAAAAAAUAAUGCAGCAUAUCGGCCAUUUUUAAUUAAAUAAUAGAAUGUAUAUUUAAAUCCGUUUUUAUUACUUUUUAUUGCACAUUGCUUUAAAUAGGCAUCUAUAUUAAUAACGCCUUAAGUUUUUUUUUACACAUUAAUUUGAAAUCAUUGAUUAGUUUUUUUUUAAUUAAAAAAUUAUUUUAAGAGAAACCUCUAUUGGAAAAACACUUUUGCUGUGUUAUUUUUAGAAAAAGAAAAACCAAAAAACAAUUCUCUUUAUGCUACUUUCCAAAAUUGUUUUCAACCAAUAUGGCCCCCAUGUCGGUGCUCCAGACAAAAAAUUCGCACUGCGUCAAAAUCAAAUCCCCCUAUAAAUACCACACCACAGUAAAUCACUCUCCCUCAUCCGCUCUCCACAAUCCCUCGAACCCCUGAAACAGGCAAAACUGUUACCGUGAAACGACACGCACUCACCCUCUCGCUUCUCUCCACGGCCAUAACCGUCGUGGUAAUCGAUGCGGUGGUCCCCGGCCGAUGGACCCCGAGAAGAGACCUGGGGAACGUGGUUCCCGGCGUAUGGACCCCAAUAACAUGUCCAAAUUUCGUUUUUUAGGUUGUUAAUCCUUAUCCAGAAGAAAUAAUUACAUUAAUUUGGCUCUUUAAAAAAAGCGAUUGUUUUCAUUUGGUAUAUUAAUUUGGCUCUUUAGAAAAGUGAUCGUUGUUCUGGAUAGAAAGUUAGAUUCAACGACCCAGAAGAAGGAGAAGAAGAAGCAGAAGGAAUAUGGCUUGUAUUUUUGUUACUGAUAGUUUUCCAUGCACUUGGUUUUGCUAGGCAAAUAGGAGUAAUCUACAGGUUGAGUUAUGUUAUUACUUUUUCCAGAGAAAAAUGAAUAUCAUUAUUUUUUUUCCGACAGUGUGUAGAUGUAGAAUGAUUGAAGUUAUCGAUUUGAAAUAAAAAACUAACUCGAAAAAUAUUUUAAAUUCUCAAAUUAAUUUGUGAGAUAUCCCCGUUAAUUUGAGUUAUUUUGGUUAAAAUAAUAUAAUUUUGUUUUUGUUACAGAAAAUCCUUUAAAUUGACCUGAUUUAGUUUAAUUGAAUUAAUAAAAUCAUUAAAACUCUAGACUGAAUUAAUAUUUUUUUAGUUCAACACCUCGGGUAAAAUUUUAGAUUAUAUAUAAUUUUUUCUAAAUUAAUUAUCGAAUUAAGUAUUCAAUGUUUGUUUAUUUAGUAAUUUAUGGAAUGUAUAUAUAUAUAUAUAUAUAUAUAUAUAUAUAUAGAGAGAGAGAGAGAGAGAGAGAGAUUAUAAAAAGAUACUAGCUAUUCAUUUGUGCUCUGGUAAAUUUUUUUUUAUUUUUUAUAAAAACUUAUUUAUAUAUGUUUUUUCAAUGUAUUUUGAUUGUUCAAAAAUUAUAACAAAUCAAAAAAUUUAUGCACAUAUAUAAUAACAUAACUAAGAAGUAUGUGCAUUAAUAAAUCAAUAAAAAAAUAUUAAUGACAUCUAAAAAUAAAAUUUGAGAAAUCAAUAGAUAAAUAUAAAUUAAAAUAUUGAAUCUUGAAAAAUUGAAUUUUUAAAACAUAAAAACAAACAUGCUUUGAUAAAAAAAUUCAACUCAACCUCAAAUAAAAAAAAAUAUUUUUUUAUAUAAUAUAAAAAAAAUUUAAUUAAUUUUUUUUAUUAUAUAAAAAAAAUAUUAAAGUAUUGGAUUUUGCUUGGGCUUGUAACUAGUAACCUGAAACAUUUCAGAAACUGAAUAAGUUGUAUGGCUUGUAAACCAUUGUUGCUAAUGGGUUGAAGUUUCCUGCUUAGAUUUUUAACAAACAACAUGUUUAAUGGGCUUCCUACCUGGAUGAAUAACUCGAUGACACAUAUCUAUUCUACAGCGUAAGACACUAGAUUAACAUCUAAUUAAUACAAGCUUAUCUACAACUGUCUACAUAAUUUCUUUUUUAAUUACUUCAUUGCCUAGGUCGGAGAUAGAGUAUAAUUAUGUCAUUGAAAUAGUAUAAAACUAUUAUUGGGAAUUUAUCAAACAAUUUAACCUUUUGGACACUCUUCAAUAUUAGAUAAGGUAUGACGAUUUAGGGAUACAAAUUAUCAUGAUUUAGUGUGUUCUUCAGCUUUUUUUUUUCUUAGUUCAUUACAUCCCUUGAUUAAGCAUACAACAAACCAUAGUUAAUGUAUAACACGGUUUAUAAUCUUGUGGCACCUACUGUACGUAUGAAAGCUUAGUCAAUUAUGUACGUAUAUAUGCAGGUAUGUAUGAAAGCUUAGCCACUUAUUUAAUUUGUAAAGAUUUUUUAAAUUAUGAUGUUAUACAAACAUAGCCUAAAGGUUAAGUAUCAAAAAUAUGUAUAUUAAAAAAAAAUCAUGUUUAAUUAAUAAAAUAUUAUUAGAAUCUUGUUUUAAUUACAAGUUAUAUUUUAUCAAUGUGGAUUAAAGAUGAUAAAAUUUAUAAUACUUUAAAAUAAAUAAAAAUAAAGAUAAAUUUUAAUAUAAAUCAAAGUGAAUAAACCUUUCUAAAUUGUUGGACUAAUCUAAAUAUGAUUUUAACAUUUAAAAAAACAUUAUUUAUGCACCACUAAGCAGUAACUAAUCAAAUUAAAAUAAUUAAUUCAUGAUUAUAGAAAAAAUUAAAACACAAUAGUGAAAUUAAUCUUAAACUUACACGUUAUCAAUUAUUUAAAAAUUAUGAAAAUUAUGAAAAUCUUCUGAUUGAGGCAGCACACCACCUGAUAAUUGUCUCCAACCCUUGCCAGAUCUGAAUUUUCCAACCCGAUGCUGCCGUCCCCAAAAGUCCUUGUGGCUGAUUGAAACACACCUGCUCUAUCCUUAUCAUCUGCAACGUCUUCUUCUUCUUCUUCCCCACCACCAUAGGUGUCCACGUCAUCGGCCAAAUCAAUCGAGUCUUGCUCAUCAUCCAUGGUGUAUGAAACAAAAGAUGCUGAAUUACAUGAACAAAGACUUGCCAUAAAUCUUAAAGAUGCAUUAUUACUUCUCAAUGCUACAUGUAGGGCAAGGGCGGAGCCAAGAAUUUUUACUAUUCUAGGCUAUGAUAUAAAUACAUAUAAUUUAUUUUUUAAAAUCAAUUAUUCACUCGAAUAUAUAAAUUUGCUAGAUUAACAAUAAAGUUUUAAUUCAAAUACAUAACACAAAAUAUAUAAAACAUAAAAUUUAAAGCAUUUAAAAUUCAAAAUAAAAAUAAAUCAUACCAUCAAAGUUGCACCUUUCGAUGUUUUGUAGAAUAUAAUUCAUCUAUGAUCGAAUCCGAAUCAAUAUCUUCAACAAGCUCUCAUUCAAUGUAAAUCAUCAAAGAAUCUACUAAGAACUCCUCUUUUAUUUUAUUACUAAGCAUAAUUUUAACAUGUUCCACUAUCCCAUUACUGAAUCUAAAAUUUAAUUCUUUCAAUUAAAAAUCUAUUGUUGAGUUAAAUAUAUUAUAAUGAUAACGUUGGUUAACAGUCAUUGAACCUUGUUAUUGAUAUGAAUGAUAUGUAACCUUUUUAUACGAAACAUUCAUAUGUGGAACACAAUUAAUCGCAAUUAUUAUUAUUUUUAACCCAAAUUUUUCAUGCUUCAACCCUCUUUGGUGAUAUAUAGUUAGUUUAUUUUUGGGUUUCAAAAAUAUUUUUUUUUUUAAAUAAAUUUAGUUUUUGCUUCAAAUUAAUUUUUUAGUGUUUUCAGAUUGUUUUGAUGUGCUGAUAUCAAAACUGAUUUUUUUUUUAAUUUUUUUGAUAUAUUUUUAAAUAAAAAAUAUUUUAAAAAGUAAUCACUACCACAAACACCAUUAAUGAAACAAAACAUAUUUUACAAUUAAUUAAGUAUAAAAAUAAUUAUUUUCCACAUGUUGCAAUUAUAUUAGUGUGUCCUUACUUUUGUCUAUACUCCUUUUCUUUAUAUAAUUUUGUGUUUAGAAAGCCUCACAAAUCAUAAAGGUUUAAUUGUUCAAACGUAUACUCCUUUUAUUUAUUUAUUGGGCAAAACAUUAUUUGUUACCUAGGCUACAGUCCACCUGAGCCUUGUACAAGGCUCCGCCCUUGAUGUAGGGUAUGCUGUGAUGCUUAAGCUUUAGUAAAUGCAAAAGAUAAACACAAUAUACUAAACAAAGACUUACCAUAAAUCUUAAAGAUCCCAAGGUUCAAUCAUAGAAGGCAUAUCACCUUUAUUACUUCCCACGGUUCACAUGCCGUGGGUCCAAUCAUUGAUGCUGAACACGGACACAGAUAAACAAAAGACUUGACCAUAAAUUUUAAAAAUGCAUUUUUACUUUUUCCAUCCGUUCAAUCAUUUACAUUAUUAUUUUUCUGACAACGUCACAAAAUCAAUUCAUUUCAUGAUGGCGUGGCCUUUUUUUCUUCGUGAGAGAAAGAGAGAUGAAAGGGAGGGGUCUGUCGUGUUUUUUGUUUUUAUUUUUUUGUUGCUUGAUAGAGAGAAAAGGAUGGCUAGUUAUGGGGGUUUGAAUGUUUUACAGUAGUGGAGGGCAUAAUUUUUUUAAGGGAAUUUGGGUUUUCUUUUUUCUUUAGUGGUGACAGUGGGAGCUUGAAGAUUAUGAGUUGUUCUUGUUGUUUUUAUUUAAAAGUGUGUGUACUGGAUGGUGUGAGGGUCAUGAGUGUUUUACUCUUUUUAUUAUUAUUAUUAUUAUUGAAAUACCAAAUGAAAUAUAAUAGAAUAACCUUAAUGAAAAAUCACCUAUUGAAAUGAGAGAUAUAAUCAUUUCUUUAAGAAUUUAAAAAAUAUUUAAUUAUUAAAAGUGCUCAUGAAUUCUAGAGUUGUUUAGGAUAAAAAUAAAUAAAAUUAUGAGAAUCAAAUAAAAUCUUUAUAUAGAAAACUAUAUAAAUAUUAUUGUCUUUGAUUGCAUUAAAAGCUAAAUAGUUAAAGACAAUAUAUUUACUAAUUAAUCGAGUAAAUCUGAUAGUAUUUUAUUAAGAAGAUUCAAGCUAAAUAAUUAUUUUUCCAUGAAUUUUCAAGUUUUUAUAUACCGAUUUUAUUCUUGUGAGAUGUUAUCAUAAAUUUGUUUUAAAUGAUUAGUAAGUAUAUUUGAGGAUACGAGAUCCACUCUUAUUUAGUGUUCAAGUUUUAUUUAUAAUUAUUUUUUAACAAAGAUCUUUAAGAUAAAACAUUAAUGUGAUAAAAAUAAAUGAUAAAUUGAUAUAAAAAACCUUGUUUUUGUUUUUUGUUACCGUCCUACUGAUGAAGUCAAAUGCGAUUGCACUUGUGAGAACAACACAGUAUGUCACGUCACCAGCCUGUAAGUUCCUCAUCAACCUCAUCCAAUUUUCUUUUAUUUUUGUAAGGCAAUGCGUCCUCUCUAAAAACUCACUGGUUUCUAUGUUGACGCCUUUUUUGGGUGGUAGAGAACUCUCAAACCGCGAAUUAGACGGACAAAUCCCCGCUGAAGCCAUAUGACAUGUGAUGAUGAUAAUUCGUAGCAAUUAUGCUGACCUCAACUAAUGUAUAACAAGCAACUUUAUGGCAGCAUCCCUGACGUCACCAUGGGGAGCUUGCCUUCACUCUACUCUCUGUAAGGGAUCCAGUACCAUGGUUAUUUACUACUGCUGCUGUUUAUUUUGUUGCAGUCAUUUGUCCAAACAUAUUCUUUAUUUUAAAUAUACUACAAUUUUUAAAAUAAAACUAACAAAAAUAAGAUAUUCUAUGUAACUCGAUUCAAGAAUCCCUAUGAUUGAUACAUUUAGCUUCUGCCUCGGAUAUUCGGUCUUUGGGCUGUAGUUAUUUAGCUUCGACAAUAUAUAUAUAUAUAUAUAUAUAUAUAUAUAUAUAUAUAUAUAUAUCUUUGGGGAUGCAAUUAUUGAGUCCCAGAUGCAUAGCUACUUGAGUUGUCAGCUAGCGUGCAUCGUCAGAAUAUAUAUUUACAAAUCUAACAUUUUGCUUUCCUGAAAUCACAUUUUUUAAAUUAUAUUCCAUUAAAUAAUUGGCCCCUACUGGUAGGCCUAGAUAUUCCAUUAAAUAAUUUUGUUUUCCUAAAAGCACAUCAUUUUUGGUUUUAUCCAGCGCUGGUUUCCAUGUCGUAAGGAGUCUUGAAGUGGCCCCUACUGGUAGGCCUGGAUAUUUCAUAGGUAGGAUUGACAUCUCAGAACAGCAGCCAUUCCUUUACUGAAUUCCAGAUCAGCUAGGGGUCUUCUGUGAAGCAAACUUUCUGACAGGAGCACAAAUCAAACCACCUAAGGAUUCUUUUAAUAUUCGACAAGCUGUCCCCAUGCCCACAACUAAACGAUAUCGCGUCACUUAGCUUACCUAAGCAUGCUGAUGUCUUGCAAAUAGUUUACCUCUAUUGAAAAGGACAUCUCAGUGAUAUGUCAUUUAGUUUCUGGUAAUUAAGGAAAUUCUAAUUAGCUUUCCAGAUAUUAUUAUUAAGGGUAUUGUAUAAUAAAAAAAAUAAAAUUACUAUAUACUUCCUAUUUUAAUGUAAAUUGCUUUGUUACUUGUUUUAAAAAUUUAAAAUAUUUAUUAUGCUAAGAGAUUGUCUAAAGUGAUAUGUUUUUAUUUUAAAACUAAACUAAGAGAGUGAUUUAAAAAUGACCUAAUCCCUAAUGUUAUAAUAUAGAUCGAAAUGAAUAUGAAAAAUAAGUCUACAUAGAAUUUAUCUCAAAUUCACUUAUUGUAUCAAGAAAAUAUAUCUUAAAACAAGUAAACAAUCAUUCACACGUUCAAAUUAGACAUAGAAAAUUCAAAUGAUGAAUAAAUAUUUAUAAAUAAUAAUUAUAAUUAAAAAAAUAAUAUUAAUGUUUUAAAAUAUUUACAUUUAUAAUUAAAAACAAUGUUGUCGUGAUUUUCCUGGUUAGAUUAUGAUUGACUAGAUAACUAGAAUAGUAUUCUGAAAAGGUAUUGAUGAGAGAAUUUCUAAGCUCACAAAUCCAGCUUAUAACACAAUAUGAAAAUAUUUCUCAAAAAAACACAAUAUAAAAAUAACAUUUUGCAUAUAAAAAAUAAGCAUUAAUCGACUCAACUAUCCUUAAUGCAACAUUCAAGGGAAAGCACAAAAUUAAAGUCUUACAAUCCUUAGGUCAAUUUUGUAUAAACAACCAAAAAAUACAAGACACAAUUAAAAGUAAAUCUCGUUCUUUGAGAAAUGGUGCCAUCAAAAUUAAAUUGCAUGAAUAUGAAAAAUUAAGUUUAUGUGAUAAGCAACAUCCAAUUAAUAAAACCCAACAAAUAAUCUUUUCAUUCUAGGUUGAUAUACGAAUGAAAAGACAAUUUAUAACAACAUAACAAACCACAAAUAUAAAAAUUACUCAUAACAAAAGAUGUGUAUAGUUGAGAAUAAUUAGAAGGCUUAACCUAUUGAUUUGCAACCUUUUCUAUUUAUAUAUGUAGGGCAAAAUACAAUAGUAAUGAUGGUGAUUACAACACAAGAGUAUAACUAUAAUAUUUUCUAUAUAAAUACAUUCUAUAAUAUGCCCUCUUAAGUUUUAAAGAUUUUUUAAAUUAUGAUGUUAUACAAACAUAGCCUAAAGGUUAAGUAUCAAAAAUAUGUAUAUUAAAAAAAAUCAUGUUUAAUUAAUACAAUAUUAUUAGAAUCUUGUUUUAAUUACAAGUUAUAUUUUCUCAAUGUGGAUUAAAGAUGAUAAAAUUUAUAAUACUUUAAAAUAAAAUAAAAAAUGAAAUUAAUCUUAGUAAAUCAAAGUGAAAAAACCUUUCUAAAUCAUUGGACUAAUCUAAAUAUGAUUUUAGCAUUUAAAAAAACAUUAUUUAUGCACCACUAACUAGUAACUAAUCAAAUUAAAAUAAUUAAUUCAUGAUUAUAAAAAAAAUUAAAACACAAUAGUGAAAUUAAUCUUAAACUUACACGUUAUCAAUUAUUAAAAAAUUAUGAAAAUCUUCUGAUUGAGGCAGCCCACCACCUGAUAAUUGUCUCCACCCUUUGCCAGAUCUGAUUUUUCCAACCCGAUGCUGCCGUCCCCAAAAGUCCUUGUGACUGAUACACGCCUGCUCUAUCCUUAUCAUCUGCAACGUCUUCUUCUUCUUCCCCGCCACCAUAGGUGUCCACGUCAUCGGCCAAAUCAAUCGAGUCUUGCUCAUCAUCCGUGGUGUAUGAAACAAAAGAUGCUGAAUUACAUGAACAAAGACUUGAGCAUAAAUCUUAAAGAUGCAUUAUUACUUCUCAAUGUUACAUGUAGGGUAUGCUGUCAGCUUUUGGCCUUGAUCAUACGUACUGAUGCUUUAGCUUUAUUAAAUGCAAAAGAUAAACACAAUAUACUGAAAUUAUUGCUGCCAAACCGGCGUUUUGACAAAAUUCAAAAUUUUUUUUUUUUUUUUUUUGCUAAAAUUAAGUUAUGGUUGUACUUUUUGGAUCGUUUUGAUGUGCUGAUAUCAAAAAUGAUUUUUAAAAAAUGAAAAAACAUCAUUUGCAUGUAUUUCGGCACGAAAAGCUAUUUAAAAAGCAACCACUACCACACUACCAAACACGCUCUGACCAUAAAUCUUAAAGAUCCCAAGGUUCAAUCAUAGAAGGCAUAUCACCUUUAUUACUUCCCACGGUUCACAUGCCGUGGGUCCAAUCAUUGAUGCUGAACACGGACAAAGAUAAACAAAAGACUUGACCAUAAAUUUUAAAAAUGCAUUUUUACUUUUCCAUGGGUUCAAUCAUUUUACAUUAUUAUUUUUCUGACAACGUCACAAAAGCAAUUCAUUUCAUGGUGUGUCAAAUCAUUUAGCAGAGCCAUUAGCUGGGCAUAGAAAAGUUUUUAAUAUAAAAUCCUCAUUUAAAUUUUAAGUUGGCUAGUAAAAUCAUAUGAAUCUAAUAUAUAAAAUAAAAUUAAAAUUAAAAUUAAAAACUAAAAAAUUAGUAAAAUUAGUUAAACUUGAUGGAAUUUGAUAAAAUUAAUAAACUCUAAUGGAUUUUAUGAGUUUAAAAAAAUAUAAAAUUAUAUUGGUUUAGUUGGGAUAUUUGAGUGGAGGAGAGCUUUGUGUAUAAGUGUGUUGAUGUAGAGAGAUAAAAGGGAGGGGUCUUUCGUGUUUUUUUUUUUUUGUUUCUUUGUUGCUUGAUAGAGAGAAAAUGAUGGCUAGUUAUGGAGGUUUGAAUGUUUUAGACUGUGUUUGGUAUUGCGGUAGCUGUUGUGGUUAUGGUUUGAAAAAAAUUGUUUUAUAAAAAGUGCUUUUUGUUGAGGUUGAUUUGAAAAAAUAGAUGUUUGGUUAAAACUAUGGUUGGAAUUGAGGUUGAAUUAAAAGUAGUUUAAUGUGUUUGGUUAAGGGUGUGUUUGGUAUUGUGGUUGCUGUUGUGGUUGUGGUUUUAAAAAAGUUGUUUUAUAAAAAGUACUUUUAGUUGAGGUUGGUUUGAAAAAAUAUAUGUUUGGUUAAAACUGUGGUUGAAAUUGAGGUUGAACAAAAAGUAGUUUAAUGUGUUUGGUUAAAAAAAUGCUUUUCAAAUUGAGGUUAUAAAAUAAUUAAAAAAUACUUUUAAUUUAAAUAUUGUAGAUUUAACUACCAUUAUUACAUCAUGAAAUAAAUAACUAUAUUUUUCAUGAUUUCUUAAGCACACAACAAUAAAAACUGAAUUUUUUGUUACUUCAUCAAGUGAUCUCCUUCUAAUUUUUUGAAUAAAACAGAAUUAAAAUAAAAAUAAAAACUGAAUUUUUUUUAACUGGGUCUGACACGGCAAUAACAUAAUUGGAAUUGCGAUCAAAUUCCACAAAUGCUACGUCAUCAUGCUAUAUCCUUCUAAUUUAUGUAGUAUUAUUAAAUAAUAGUUUUUCAACUAAAACUCAAUUUUUUUAAAAAAAAUUACAAUUUCAUUACGUACAAAAUUUAUUCGACAAAAACUACAGUUUUCAUGAUUUUUUGAGCAUGCAAUAAAAUUAGGUAAAAUAUUAUCAGGAAUAAAAUUGAGAUUACAGUAUAAGUAAAUUUAAUUCACCUUAAACUAAUUUUUUUUAAAAAAAAAAAAUAGUGUUCACGUUUACAUGAAUAGUGCGAGUGAAAUCACUGAUUUUUUUUAAUUGCACUGAUUUUUCAGAAGAAAAAAAUAAACUUUUCUUGGUUUUUCGAAAUUAAAAAAAAAAAAUUAAAACUCUGAUUUAAGUUUAGGGAACAGUGCGAGUGAAUUAAAAUUCACUCGCACUGUACAUUGUAAACCUUUCUUGGUUUUUUGAAAAAAAAAAAAAAAAAACCUCUGAUUUAAGUUUAGGGAACAAUGGAGCCAUGCUCCACUAUUCCAGCGUUUUUCCUUCAGGAGAUGCAACAUUUUGCUGCUUCUCCCAAACCGCCGUUUCAAUUUAAAAUUGAGUGGGCCCUACCAGUUAAAAGGAGGUUUUAUUUCGUUGCCAAACAAAAAUUUGAGUGGCUGUGGGUGAACCUCACCCGCAGCCACGUUACCAAACGACACCUAAGAAUGCUUUUGAAAUUGAGGUUAUAAAAUAAUUUUAAAAAUAUAUAUAUUAAUAUUGAUGAUUUUUAAUUUAAAUAUUAUGGAUUUAAUAUUGCUAUUACAUCAUAAAAUAAAUCAUUCUAUUACGUAAGAAAUACAUCCGACAAGAACUACAAUUUCUAUAAUUUUUUAGUGUGUUAUAAAAUUAGAUAAAAUAUUAUUAUGUAUAAAAUUCAUUUUAAACUAGUUUUUUUUAAAAAAAAAUUUUAAAAAAAUUAACACACUAAAAAAAAGAAAGAAAGAAAGUUGCUCACGCAGUGCAAGAGAAUUGCAUUGUUCACUAUUUUUAAGUGAACAAUGCAAUUCUCUUGCAUUGUUCAUAUUAAUUGCACUGUUCAUUGAACAGUGCAAUUAACGUGAACAGUAACAAAACAACGAAUUCUUGCUUUUCAAAUGUUGUGUUUCCAACGCAAAAAAAGGUGGGCCCUAGUGAACAGUAUACCUCAUUUUUCUUUAACCAAACGGCUACAGCUGUGUUUUCAAUAAAACACAGCCGCAGUCGCAGAGCCAAACGGACUCUUACAGUAGUGGAGGGCAUACUUAUUUUAAGGGAAUUUGGGUUUUCUUUUUUCUUUAGUGGUUACAGUGGGAGCUUGAAGAUUAUGAGUUGGUCUUGUUGUUUUUAUUUAAAAGUGUGUGUACUGGAUGGUGUGAGGGUCAUGGUUUUUUACUCUCUGUUUUUAUUUAUUGAAAUACCAAAUAGAAUAUAAUAGAAUAAUCUUAAUGAAAGAUCACCUAUUUAAAUGAGAGAUAUGAUCAUUUCUUUAAGAAUUUCAAACAUAUUUAAUUAUCAAAAGUGCUCAUGAAUUCUUUAGUUAAUCUAUUUAGGCACUUGAGUGUAAAGAGGGUGUGGCCUUUUUGUCUUCGUGAGAGAAAGAGAGAUGAAAGGGAGGGGUCUGUCCAGGGGCGGAGCAAGAAAAAAUAAUUAGGAGGGGUCAAAUUAUAAAUUAGAGAGGCUAAGAAAAAAUUUCAGUUAUUUUUAUUAAAAUUAUAAAUAUUUAUAAGGGAGGGGUAUUUUCGUGUAGGGGUCGGUGCCCCUGCCAGCCCCCUUCCCUCUGCCACUGGGUUUAUCGUGUUUUUUUUUUUUUUUUGCUGCUGCUUGAUAGAGAGAAAAGGAUCAAUGGAUAGUUAUGGAGUUUUGAAUGUUUUACAGCAGUGGAGGGCAUAAUUUUUUUUAUGGGAAUUUGGGUUUUCUUUUUUCUUUAGUGGUGAAAGUGGGAGCUUGAAGAUGAUGAGUUGGUCUUGUUAUUUUUAUUUAAAUGUGGGUGUACUGGAGGGUGUGAUGGAUCAUGGUUUUUUUACUCUCUUUUUUGGUUUUUUAAGAUAGAAUGUUUAGUAUUUUUUUUAUGCUAAUCCUCUCUAACUAAUUUCUCCCUUGUUUUAUAGUGUGACCCCCAUUUAUACUAGUAAAAAAAGAAGAAGUUGUUUUUCACUCUUAGGUGAUAAUCUAUUCCAUAGAUUAUAAUUGAGAAAUCGAAAAAUAAAAAAAAAUAAAAAAUUGAGAAAAUAAAAAAUAAAUUAUAAUGAAUGAUAAAUAGAUAUAAAAAACCUUGUUUUUUUUUUUUUUUUUUUUACCGUCCUACCGAUGAAGUCAAAUGCAGUUGCACUUAUGAGAACAACACGUUUGUCACGUAAGUUCCUCAUCAACUUCAUCCAAUUCUCUUUUAUUUUUGCAAGGGAACGCGUCCUCUCUAAAACUCACUGGUUUCUAUGUUAACGCCUUUUUUGGGUGGUGGAGAACUCUCAAACCGCGAAUUGGACGGACAAAUCCACGCUGAAGCCAUAUGACAUGUGAUGAUGACAAUUCGAAGCAAUCAUGCUGACCUCAACUGAUGGAUAACAAUCAACUUUAUGGAAGCAUCCCCUGACGUCACCAUGGGGAGCUUGCCUUCACUCUACUCUCUGUAAGUGGUUAUUUACUACUUACAGAGAGUAGAGUACCAUGGUUAUUUACUACUGCUGCUGUUUAUUUUGUUGCAGUCAUUUGUCCAAACAUAUUCUUUAUUUUAAAUAUACUACAAUUUUUAAAAUAAAACUAACAAAAAUAAGAUAUUCUACGUAACUCGAUUCAAGAAUCCCUGUAAUUGAUACAUUUAGCUUCUGCCUCGGAUAUUCGGUUUUUGGGCUGUAGUUAUUUAGCUUCGACUAUAUAUAUAUAUAUUUGGGGAUGCAAUUAUUGAGUCCCAGAUGCAUAGCUACUUGAGUUGUCAGCUAGCGUGCAUCGUCAGAAUAUAUAUUUACAAAUCUAACAUUUUGUUUUCCUAAAAUCACAUCAUUUUUGGUUUUAUCCAGCGCUGGUUCACAUGCCGUGGGUCCAAUCAUUGAUGCUGAACACGGACAAAGAUAAACAAAAGACUUGACCAUACAUUUUAAAAAUGCAUUUUUACUUUUCCAUGGGUUCAAUCAUUUUACAUUAUUAUUUUUCUGACAACGUCACAAAAUCAAUUCAUUUCAUGAUGGUGUGUGUGGCCUUUUUUUCUUCGUGAGUUUUUAUUUUUUUGUCGCUGGAUAGAGAGAAAAGGAUGGCUAGUUAUGGAGGUUUGAACGUUUUACAGUUGUUGCUAUUCAAUUUUUAAUUUAUAUUUUUGAUAAAUUUUCAGAAAAAUCAAAAACAGUAAAAUAACAAAGAAAAACCUAAAAAAUAUAUUUUUGAUGUAUUUGCAUUGUUUUUUGUAUUUUCAACGUCAUCUCAAAAGAAUUUAAUUUUUCAAAGGUUUUGAACGCGUUUAACUUUUAACGCGUUAAUUUUACAAUCAUUGAUUUUUCUUGUUUAGUCGACGUUGAUAUUACUUGCUUUUAAAAAUAAAAAAAAAUAAAAAAAAUCAAAAUUUAAAAAAAAAGAAAAGAAAAGAAAAGAAAAGAAAGAACGGAAAUAUUGGGGACUAUUUUGAAAACUUAACAACAAUGAUCCUAUAAAUACUAAGCUACAGUGAUAAUAAAAUGGAGGAGAAAAUUUUUACACGGGAGAAAAAUUCACAGGCAUGGGGGAAGGAAAUUUUGGGGGGAAACAAAAAGAAAAAAAACUAAACCUAAAAAACCCAUCUGCAGCCGCCCCUUCUCCUUCGAAAAAAAAAACCGGCCCCCCUCCCCUUUGAUCUUCUUCUCCCAGCACCAAGCAGCUGCUGCCAUUCCCUUCCGUUGGCCAAAAACAGAGAGAGGAGAGAACCCCAUCCCCCAACGCCAGCUUCCUUCUCCGUUGGCCCGACUAAGGCUCCCUUUAUAUAAAAAAAACCCUUUUUCUCCCCGAGAGCCGCCCCAGACGAUUUUCUUCCUCAGCCACAGCGCUGACCUCUCUUUUUUGAAAAAAAAGGAGGAGCAGGCCGCCUCUCCCUUGGAAAAAGAAAGAACCCAGCGUCGCCUGCCUUCUUUUGAUUUUCCAGCUCCAUUUGGUCUCCCCUCUUUCCCUGUUGAACCGGCUGGCCCCUCUCCCUCACAAAACCCAGAAGAGCGUCAGCCGCCAGCUCUCCUGGCCAAGCUACAGCCGCCUCCCUCCCUUGAGAAAGAAAAUCUAGAGAAACCCCUGCUUUGGGGGGGCUUUUGAUUUCCAGCUUCUUCCUCCCUUCAGCCGGGUAAGUCCCCCUCGUCCUCUGUCAAAAACGAGCCUUCACCCGAACCCCAGAUCAGUCCUUCCCUCUCAACACAGAACAGCCUCGCCCUCAACAAACAGCCCCAUCUUCCUCGACCAGAGAACGGGCAGGGCCGUUCCCCGUCUCUUCAGACCCACGGUCUUCCUCACCGGCAGCAGCAGUCCUUCCUCCAGCGGUGCCUAUAGAAGCGGCCUCAUCUCCGACCGAGAAUCAAUGGCCGGAACUGCAACCAGAGAGAAGCAGAUCCGAAACGGAGAAAAAUGGAAAGAGGCGCAGAUCUGAAAAUAAAGGAAACAAAAUAAAACCGACUGCUUGUGGUUUUUUUUUUCGUUGCAGGUCACGGUGUAAGCCACCACGGGCUGGGAACAGAAGAGAAGGGGAAACCGUUCUAGAGCCCCCUGCUUGCUGGACUUUCCAGCGGCGGCGCGAGAACCCAAGCGCCGCCAGUUACGGUGGCGCGUGGGAGGACGCGCCGCCACGAUUACAGCUCCCACGCGCCGCCACGAUUACAGCAGAUCCCAGAAGGCUUUCCAACAGUUUCUGGAUUUUUUUUUGGGUUUAUUUUGUAAUUUUUAAAUUGUAUUUGAUAUUUUUGUUAUUUUUUUUGUACAUGUAAAAAGGGGAUGUAUAAGAAAAAUAAUAAAAAAAGAGAUGGGUGUGUGUGUGUUUGUAAUUUUUUCUUUUAUGUAUAUUUUUGAAUUAGAAAAUACAAAAAGAAAGAAAAAGUAAUUAGAUGUUUAAUUUGAAUAUGGUUAAAUAUCUUAAAGGACAAAUAAAAUCAUGUUGUAUUUUCCAUGAAAAUAUAAGAACAAGUUUCUAUAUAUAUUUCUGGGAUUUAAUAACUGAUUUAUUAAAGCCUUAGAAUUUGAUUAAUAUCUCAAAUUUUCAAAUCACAUCAAACCACGGAGCAGCUUACCUCGGGUAGGUAGCGCUGGGGGUGCUGAUACCUUCCCUAGCCACAACUAGUCUCUUACCCUCGAAUCUCUGAUUAUGACCAGUAAAUUCGGGUUUUCUAGUAACAUCUGACUAAAUAUUAGGUGGCGACUCUCAAGAUCCCAAAUCAAGCAAAGGAACAAAAAUCGCUUGAAUCGCCGCACGGGUGACGUGCGACAGUAGUAAUGGAGGGCAUAAUUUUUUUAAGGAAAUUUGGGUUUUCUGUUUUCUUUAGUAGUGACAGUGGGAGCUUGAAGAUUAUGAGUUCUUGUUGUGUUUUAUUUAAAAGUGUGUGUACUGGAUGGUGUGAGGGUCAUAAGUGUUUUACUCUUUUAUUAUUAUUAUUGAAAUACCAAAUGAAAUAUAAUAGAAUAAUCUUAAUGAAAGAUCACCUAUUUAAAUGAGAGAUAUAAUCAUUUCUUUAAGAAUUUAAAAAAUAUUUAAUUAUUAAAAGUGCUCAUGAAUUCUAGAGUUGUUUAGGGUCAAAAUAAACAAAACUAUGAGAAUCAAAUGAAAUCUUUAUAUAGAAAACUAUAUAAAUAUUAUUGUCUUUGAUUGCAUUAAAAGUUAAAUAGUUAAAGACAAUAUAUUCAUUAAUUAAUCGAGUAAAUCUAAUAGUAUUUUAUUAAGAAGGUUCAAGCUAAAUAAUUAUCUUUCCAUGAAUCUUUAAGUUUUUAUAUACCGAUUUUAUUCUUGUGAGAUGUUAUUAGAAAUUUGUUUUAAAUGAUUAGUAAGUAUAUUUGAGGAUACGAGAUCCACUCAUAUUUAGUGUUCAAGCUUUAUUUAUAAUUAUUUUUUAACAAAGAUCUUUAAGAUAAAACAUUAAUGUGAUAAAAAUAAAUGAUAAAUUGAUUAUGAGAGGGAAUAAAGCGAAUCUGAAUCUUUUCCUUUGCAACCCUAUCUCGUACAAAAUGAUAGUCAACCUCAACAUGUUUAGUACGAGUAUGAAAGAUAGGAUUUGCAGAUAAGAAAGUAGCGCCUAGAUUAUCAUAUCAAAGUUAAUAGGAUCUGCUAAUAUUAAAUACCCAAAAACAUAUUUUGUUUUCUUUAGUAUUUGGGAUUACAAAUUUAUAUGUAAAAUGUCUUCUCGAUAUUAAAAAUAUAGCUCUUUUUAUUAAUGUUAGAACGGUUAGGUUUUACACGAUAAGAUAAGAACAUUCUCAUUUAGGAAGGCUUUUUUCUAAAACCUUAGACAAACCAACAAAUAGAAACACAUAACAAUACUUUAGAUUUGAUCAAAUAAUUAAAUAAUGUAGAUUAUCCUAAAUAAAACAUAAUUGGAGUACUAAUAUCUUUUAUUUAUACAACUAGUUCCUGUAUUUGAUUUUCAAAACUAAUUGGAGUUUUUAAUGAUUAAAAUAUAAAGUGAUGACUUCCAUUCUAUCUAUACCUCGAUAAAAGAUAAGGAAUUCUUAUCUCAUGAUUUUCCUGAUUUUUUUAGGAUAACGAACCUGAAUAUAUCAUCAAUAAUUAUAAUUUUUUUGACGUGUACAGCCAUCACGUGAUGGUUUCCGUGAAUCCAGGGAGGACUUAAUUUGGGGCAGCAGGAACUUACGAAGAAAUUCCGAUUUAUCUUGUGUGACCUACGUAAUGUAAUUUGAGAUCACUUUUAUAUUGUUGAAAAUAAAACGUGUUUCUUGCAUGUUUUCUACUUUGAUAAAAAGUACUUGUUAGAAGAUAACUGUGUAUAGUUCUCCUUUCAAGAAUUUUACAGCCAAGAGACUUUUCAUGGGAGAAUAGCAUAAAUAAUAUAUUCUGAAUAGAAAAUGGUUGAGCUAUUACAAGUGCAGAAGGCUAUAAUAUUUGAGCUGAAAUUUAUAUCCACAUGAAAUAAAGUCCUUGUUUGUUUGUUUUUUAUACGAAAGUAGAUCCAAUGAAAUUUAUAUCUUGAAAAUAACAUUCAAUUUUUGGUUUUCAAAGCAGCAUUACAGAAUGCUCUUUACCUGGACUGACGGUGGUUAUUAUUAUUACUUGACAAUGGUAACAAAAGAUGCUUAACAUAAACAAAGACUUGACCAUAAAUCUUAAAGAUGCAUUAUUACUUGUCAAUGUUCACUUUCCGAUUGGACCCAAGAAAUGAAGGGUAAGCUAUCAGCUUUUGGAUUUUUUAAAUGCAAAAGAUUGACGAAAGAUGCUGAACAUAAACAAAGACUUGACCAUAAAUUUUAAAGAUGCAUUAUUACUUCUCAAUGUUUAGAUUCCACGGGUUCAAUCAUUCAGCAGAGCCUUUAGCUGGGCAUAGAAGAGUUUUUUUAUAUAAAAUUCUCAUUCAAAUUUAAGUGAUAAUUCUUUUAUUUUACUACUUAAAAGUUGAGUCACCAGUUAAAAAUUUAUUUUUUCCGAGUGUGUAGGUGUAGAAUGAUUGUUGUUAUUGAUUCAAAAUAAAAAACUAACUCGAAAAAUGGUUUAAAUUAAGAAAUUAAUUUCUGAGAUAAACCAGUUAAUUCAAGUUAUUUUAGUUAAAAUAACAUUGUUUUUAUUUUGAUAAACAAAAUAUUUUUUCAUCAAUCCACUUUAUUUAUCCAGUUUAUGAAUAAACAAUCUGAAUAAUUACCUUUCACUUUAUAAAUUGUUUAUUUUAAUUAAAAAACAUCUGAUUUUUUAAGCAAAAAAUAUCAGGUUUUUUUCAUUCUUUUAUAGCACAUAAUUAAGACAAAACAACCAAAAUUAUUUCCGGCAACCACUAGAAUUAAUUAUGUAUCAAUCUUGGUUCCAAAAAUCAAGGUAAAAAGAAUGUAUUGCAAGUUACUUUUCUCGGGUAUUUUGAUAUUUGGACAGGGACAAUUUGGUAAUGUGAGGUAAUUGAUUCAGAGUUAAUAACUGUUUGAACGGUAAAACAAUAUCUUUAUAAAGAAUGUAUGUCGUCUCAAGGGAACCGCAUUGCAAGCUAAAGUAGUAAUGGCUAAGCUCUUUCCUAAGCUUGUUUCCUCUCUUGCCGUUCUUCUUCUUCUUUGUCAAUUUGGCUAUGUAGCCUGUCAACCACCGUUGCCUGCAGAUGAAGGUACACACGCACGAUAUACUUUUCCAUCUACGUAUAUAUCCUUUUCCUGCUAUAUACAAAAGAAGGAAGAAAAUUUGUUUAUCUGUUAAAUAUGAGCUUUUCCUUCAAUAUCUUCUCCCUAUCCAAGCAGAUGCUCUUCUCUUUCAGAUGACCCAAUUAAUAAUAAGUUAUGGACAAAGAGGGCUUUUUUUGUGUAGAUUCCAUGCAUGUCGCAUUGCAAACUAUAGUAAUGGCUAAGCUCUAUCUUAAUAAGCUCUUUCCUAAGCUUGUUUCCUCUCUUGCCGUUCUUCUUCUUUGUCAAUUUGGCUAUGUAGUCUGUAAAGCAACAAAUUUAUAUGACAUGCAUUAAUUGCCUGAAGAUGAAGGUACACACGAUUUCAUGCUUGUUGUUGACAGUUCAAUUUGCAUUAGUUCAAUUUACAUCAUUAAUGAGAUUUUUAAUAACAACCUAAUUAAUGCACACUACCUGUUUGAAUUUUGCUAAAAAAAAUGAUGUUUCAUUGUUGAAAACGUUUGGCAGAAAAGGCUUUGGAUGACUUGUUGAAAAAGUUAGAGUGGGGUUUUCAUCCAAACUCACACUUGCCUUGUUCCUCUAAUUCUGAAUACAUCAAAUGCGAUUGCACUACAUCCUCUUGUCACGUCACCCACCUGUAAGUUCCUAAUCAACUGCAUCCAAUUUUCUUUUAUUUUUGUAAGGCAAUACAUCCUCUUUAAAACUCACUGGUCGCUAUGGUUUCUAUGUAAACGCCAUUUUUGGGUGGUAGAACGCUCCCAGACCAGGACUUAACUGGAGAAAUAAAUGCUGAAGCCUUGGCUAGUCUCGUUUACCUAAAAGCAAUGUGAGUAUCAUCUGACAUGAUGAUAAUAGUUCGAAGUAAUUAUGCUGACUUCAAUUCAUUGAUAACUAUCUUAUUACCAUAACAGUGAUUUGUCCAAGAAUCAACUUCAUGGUGGCAUCCCUCUCACCUUGGGGAACUUGCGUUCACUCACCCGUCUGUAAGUGAUCCAGUACCAUAUAUGAUCAUAUACUACUACUACAGCAGUUUGGACAACAAAAGUGACUACUCGAUCAACUAUAUUAUUGAAGAAUAUAGUUACAGCCACUGUAUUCAUUAAUCUAAAAGUAUCUAAUUAUUGAAGAAAAAGAUGCAUAGUAGUUGAACGACGCAUCGUUUAAGCUAAACCCUACAAAUUAAAGUUUUUAAUUUAGAAUUUUAAAAACUUUAAUUUAAUCCUUAUUCUUUCAAUUUCUUUUAAUUUCACCCAUAAUUUUAUCAUGAACUUCUAAUUUCAUGUAGUUUCACUCAUGUCAAAUUCAAUUAUAAGCCCUAUAUUUGUGUGACUUUUACAAUUUAGUUAUUGUUUUCUGAUUUGUUCAAUUGGGUGACUGGAUGACCAUCAAACUUUUAAUUUUCUUUAAUUUGGGCCUUAAUUUUAAACCUUGUAAUCUUACGCACUUUACAAGUUGGUCAUCGGUUUUCAAUUUAUUCAAUAAAGUUCCUAAUGGCUCAUUAGAUUUCAAAAUUUAUGUAAGUAAACCUGAUUUGGUGUGCAAUUAUUGAGUUCCAACUGCAUACUCGAAAUUUGGAAGUGCAUAGAUACUUGAGUUUAGUAGUACAUAACAUAUGAGAAAGCAAUUGUCUAGCUAGAAGUCUGGCCCUGGCGAGAUGUUUUAAAAAAGGUUUUUUUUUUCGUGAAUAAACGAAUCGAUAUAAAAGUUCGGGUAGAUAAUUUAAUGGUUAGAGAAUUCUAUAAUGAAAGGAGUAUCAGAGAGUAAAUAAUUUCACUAAGCUAGUGUUAGUCUUGAGUACUGAUAAUAAGGAAAAACAUGUUUGCUCAUUUGAUUAGUCUUUGAAAGAUUCUAGAUAAAGAUAUGAUUAAAUAAUAGAAAAAAUAACAAUUAUUCUAUUUAUUAUAUUUUAAUAUAAACGUGUCGCAUAGCAACUAGAAAAUCUUAAUUAAUAUGCUAAAAGAUUAUCUAAAGUGACAUGUUUUUAUUUUAAAACUAAACUGAGAGAGUGGUUCUAGACCAAGACUUGAAAAUGACCAAAUCUCCACUUUGAUGAAUGUUUAUAAUUAAAAAUGAUAAAUUAAUAUUUAUAAUUAAAAAAUAGUAUUAAUAUCUUAAAAUAUUUACAUUUAUAAUUAAAAGAUAACAAUGGUUACGAAGAACACUAUUUAUUUUUAACGGGCCUACGUGGGAUUGCAUGGAUACGGCCCAAAUUUACUUAUUGGAUACAGAAAAUAUAUCAUAAAACUAAGUAAAUAAUUAUUCACACACAUUCAAACUAGACUAGAAAAUUCAAAUGAUAAAUUAAUAUUUAUAAUUAAAAAAUAAUAUUAAUGUCUUAAAAUAUUUACAUUUAUAAUUAAAAAUAAUAUUGUCACUAUGGGCGACUCCUAUGCUUAGAUUAUGUUUGACUAGACAACUGUUUGACUAAAUAAUCGGAAUAGUAUAUUGGAAGGGAAUUGUCAAGGACACAUAGAAUCCAAAUUAUAACAUUUUGUUUAUAGAAAUUAAAUAGGCAUUGUGCAUUAAUCAAUACUCGCCUAUUGUUAAUGCAACAUCCCAGGAAAACCACACAAUUAAAGUCUUUUAUUAAUUGGGUUGAUUUUGUAUAAACGACAAAAAAAUUCAAGACAUGAUUAAAAAUAAAUCCUGUUCUUGGAGAAAUGAUGCCAUCAAAAUUAAACUGUAGAAACAUGACAAAUUAAGUCUUUUAUUAAUUGAUUUUAUUACGUGAUAGACAAAAGAAUAAGACCCGACAAAACAUUUUUUUAUCCUGAAUUGAUUUUUGAAUUAAAAAAAAAAACAAUUUAUACAUAACAUAAACAAACGACAAACAUAAAAAAGACAUAGUCGUGUGCUAACUAUUUUUGUUUUUCCAUAGGCAACAUUCAAAGGAUAAGACCCGAUAAUGAAUCUUUUUUGUCCUGGGUCAAUUUACAUAUAAAUAAACAAUUAAAUUAUUGGUCAGCGUGCAGAUGAAUUCCAACCAUACUCCCAAAAUUAAAAUACCAGCAAAGAAAUCAAAGCAUUGUUCGGAUCAAUCCCGUAUGGCAAUCUCGAAAUUGUGAUCAAUCCAAGGUCGGAUAGAAAACAACAUAUCAUUAAUUAUUAAAUUAAAGUCUUUAUUUAAAAUAAUUAAUUUCAAUAGUUAAUUAAAAAGGCAUAUAUAUAUAUAUCAAAUAUAAGUAUUCCAAAUAAUUUUAUAAUCUUUUAAUAAUUAAUAGUAAAAUAUGUAAAUAUGUUAAAUUAAAUACGAGUAUAAUUUUUUUAUAUUGUUUCAUUAAAGAGGAAAAAUAUAUUACAAGUAUAAUUUAGAUGUGUGUUUGAAAAGGUAAAAAAAUAAAUAAAAAAUAAGUGCCCUCCCAAAAAUACCAGCAAAGAAAUCUGCAUUGAUUCAUCAUUUGAUGUUUGUAAUCUUUUGUUAUAUUUCCAUUAAUGUUAGGUGAAUGUCUUCCCACUUCCCAUAUGCAUAGCGAUCUCUCCGAAAACUUUCGUAUUGGAUGUCUGUAUAGUUAUGUGCAAAGAGCAGCUUAUUAGCUUUUGGAUCAUAUACAAUAACUAAUUUCAGUUCUUAGUGUUUCUUCAUAAAAUUUAUAUUAUUGGUUCUUAGUGAGGAAUAAUUAAUGAACUUAUAUGGUAAUACAUAUGCACAGCGAUCUCUCUACAAACUUCUUCAAUGGCUCCAUACCUUCAUCCUUGGAGAAUUUGUCGUCCCUCGAAUAUCUGUAAGUAUCAUGUAAUCACAGUUUUUAAAGUUUUCCUAAUCAAGGAUUUAGAUUUCAUGCUUCAAAACUAAAUUUAUUAUUUCUAUUAUAGUUAAAAGCAAACUAUCCAUCAUCAAUUAUUAUUAUUAUUUUUUUAAAUGGCACUAACCAAAAAGUUUGACUUGGGUAUCGAAGAACAUCCAUUUUUACAUGAAUUAUAGGAGAACAUCUUGGAUAUUUGGGUUUGAUUUUAUACCAUUGCUGUUCUUUUAAAGAAUAAUAUAUAAUGAUAAGAAAAGAGCAUACAAUUUGUAACUUCUGUUAUCAAGAGUUCUAUGAAAUUAUAGUCUCAGCAUGCAUUUUCAGAAUAUAUAUAUAUAUAUAUAUAUAUAUAUAUAUAUAUAUAUAUAUAUAUAUAUAUAUAUACAAAUCUAACAUUAAUUUUUGUUUUCUAAAAUCACUUCUUUUAAAUUAUAUUCCAUUAAAUAAUAGUUAAGAUCUCAUUUUCAUUCGGAGAAUAAAGUGUUUAGUACUACAUAAUUAUAUUAUAAUGGUGAAAAUUUGAGUUAAGAACUCAAAUUUGCUUCAUUAAAUUAAAGAAGCUAUUGAAUAGACAAUUGAUAGAUUAUACUUGUAGUUGUAAUAGUUAAGAUUUUUUAAUAGAAUUUUUGGGGAAACAUUUUCAAGUAAAAUUAGCUUUGUUAGAAAUUAAAAUAAGGGCAAGCCGUAUGGGGUCUUGAUACUUAUAAAUGUUCAUGGCGAGGUGUUAAUGGUAUAGUUAUUAAACACGGAUCGGACUUGUUGGUUGAUCCAGAACCUGCUUGACUCGGUUGUUGAACCGGUCCGGGUAAGAUAAAAGACUGGAAUGAGCAAAAACUCGACAAAACCCAAUUAAGAUCUUUUUUUUUUAGUUGGUUAUUAACCAUUUUUAAAUUUUAGUAUAUAAAUACUAAAAAAAUACUUUAUUUUUUCAAUGUCAGAUUUAAAGUCUUUUAAUAUAUAUAUUAUAUGUUUAUAAGAAAAAAUUAAGUCAUGUUUUUUUAAUGUGGGAUAAAAAAUAUUUUGAAAUAAUAUUUUAAAUUUUAUUAUUUAUAACAUGUAUAACUUAUAUUCAAAUUGAUUGUUUAUAAAAAAUUUCAAAUGAAAUAUGAAAAUUUUAAAUAUUUUUUUUUCUGGGUUAAUUCGGGUCAACCAGUGUAACCCGAGACUCGGCUUCUUGGCUGGGUCAACCCCGGGUCAGGUUUUAUAACUAUGGGUAAUGGUCACAAAAAUUAACUUCUUAGUUCUGUUUGGUUCUCUUCUCUUAUGUAAUUAGGAUAGUAGCCUUGUUUGGCUAAUUGCUUAACUGUGUUAAUGCUUGUUUGGAUAUCUGCAUGGUUAUGAGCAAAGAGCUGCUUAGCUUUAGGAUAAUAUAUAAUAACUAAUUUCAGUUCUUAGUUUGUCUUCAUAAAAUUUAUAUUAUUGGUUCUUAUUUGAGUAAUAAUGAACUUAUUUGCAUAGCCGUCUCUCGAGAAACUUUCUCAAUGGCUCCAUACCUUCAUCUAUGAGGAAUUUGGCGAAACUCAAAUAUCUGUACGUGUCAUCCAAUCACAGUUUCUUUAAUAUCAUAUAAUGUCAAUUAAAUUCUUUUUUCAUUGCUGAUGCAAGUUUUGUGCUCUUAUUCUUGUGGGUGUUUUCAGGAGUUUGUCAAGUAAUAAGUUAUUAGGUCAAAUCCCUAAAGAAUUGGGCGACCUCUCUAGUCUCCGAUAUAUGUAUAGAAACUCGCUCGCUCGCUCUUUCAUUCUCCUUGAAUUUCCUUUUAACUUAUUUAGUUUGGUUUGGUUCAUAUCUCUUAUUUAAUUAGGGACUUGGGCUUCAAUGAACUCACUGGUCAGCUUCCACCACAACUUGGAAGAUUGAAAUCUCUAUAUCAUUUGUAAGUUUCAAGAAGAAUAAUAAUAUCAUACCACCUUGUAAAACCACGGAAGAUAGAAAGAGGAGAAAUAAAACAGAAAAAAGGUGGAUUACAAUCCUUUUGAUUUGUUGUUGUAGAGAUGUGGGCUCCAACAAUUUGAGUGGAGAACUGCCGGGAAAUUACGCCGACUUUAGUACUUGGGAUCAAUUGCGGUGGUUGUAAGUGCAACUCAUCAUGUUAUUUCAACCAACAAUCUGUUUAAUUAUUGUUCCAAGGAAAAGUAACUAACUAUGGCUGCAGUAGCGUAGCUGGGAACCGUUUGACCGGUCAAGUUCCAAGGUUCAUUGCGAAGUGGACUGGACUCUCUUACCUGUAAGAAAUUACUUUUACUUUCUGUAAUCAUACACGUGAAAGUAAGCAAUAUUAGUUGAUUGAGCUGAUUUCUCAAUGCUGAAUGUCUACCUCCAACCAUUUGAGCAGAGAAACUGUCGAUGAAUAUCAUUCAAUAAUUUGUCUUUGUGUGUACUGAUUUCAGGUCCCUCUCCGGGAAUGAUUUUGAAGGACAGCUGCCUCUUGAACUUCUUUUUAACUUGCCAAAUCUCCAAUACUUGUAAGUGUUCUAUAAUUUUAACCGGGUUGAAAUAAAUGCAUGUUUUAUUCUGGCUGGUUUUUCUUCCAGGUUUGUUAGUGAUGUAAGAAGCUCCCGUUUCCCACAAAAAGCAAAUAUGCCGAAAAUAAGAUACCUGUGAGUUUUUCCUUCCUUUGCUUUUCUUUAAAGCUUACACUAAGGGCAAAAGCUCACAUGCAGUACUAACUUGAGAUUUGUAAUUAAAAAGGAAAAAAAGAAAAGAAAAGAAGAAUGCCUGAAACUUCCUUGGUCCGGCCAAUGAGCUUAUAGCUUAACUGUCACCAACAUCACCACUCUUCACAUGCAUUAACUUUGUUAUAAUUUCAAAGUGGCAAAGCCAAAAUGUUUUGAGAUUGUGGUUGUAGAAUUGUGGAUAUGGUAUAAAGAUUAAUUUCACAUUGAAUAAUAAAAACCAUGCACACUUGGAAUUAUAUUUGUCUGGGAGUGUUAUUGUUGUAGAAUUUGGAUUAUAUUUUUUUUAGGCCUAUUUUUCUUUAUAUUAUCUUGAGUUUUUUGUAUGAGCUAUUACAUGCUGUGAAGACUAGUUGUAUCUGGGAUUCAGGUUUGAGAAUUAAUAUAUAUAUAUAUAUAUAUUAACGACUAUAGUAAAUUUAUCCUGGAUGUAGGCAUAACAGAAUCGUGAAGUCACAAAGUUGUGUUUUAUAUUUUUUUUGUCAAUAUUUAUGUACGUGACUCUUAAUGAUAUGUAUGCAUUGGAUAGAUCCAAACACCAACAUCUUCAAUGAUUUGUGUAGGAUGAUAAGGAAUUGCUCAAUAAGUGGUGAAAUCCCCCCGUACAUCGGUGAUUGGUCAUCGUUAACAUACCUGUAAGUUUCAUUUCCUCUUUUGUAAAGGAUUUGUAGUUCUAUUUUGAUUUUGAUUAUGUGUAUAGAAGUGUUUACAGAAUCAACUAUGCAAUAAUAGACCAUAGCACAACUAUAUAUCAAAUAUGUAGGAUAACGUUUGCUUUCAUUUUAUUGAUCCUGCAGAGACUUGAGCUUUAACAUCUUAACUGGUCGAAUACCAGAUUCCAUGAAAAAGCUGAAAUUAAGUAAGAUGUAUGCAAAAGAGAUUCCUUGAACUCGAUGUCUUAUAAUAAGUUCGUUCUGCCACUCUGUUAAAAAGUACAUGGGAUGGUUUUCAUACUGGUUUUGUUUUGUUUAGGUUUCUCACAGGGAAUAUGCUGAAUGGCCCAGUACCUUCCUGGGUUCCUGAUACCAUUGAAGACAAGGCGUAUGUUAUGGCUUUGUGCUCUUUGCUCAGAUGGGUUGUUUUCCCUUUUGUAGAUUGCCUCAAUAAAAUCUUGAUAUGUAAACAAUAAUGUUGCAGGGACUUGUCAUAUAAUAAUUUUGAAAUUCCACGUGAUGGUCCGAAGAAAGGAGAAGGAAAGCUGAACAUGUAAUAACGGCAACUUCAUUUUCUUCCUCCUUUUUUUUCACUUGCAAGAAUAUUGUUGUCUAUGAAAUUCCAACUUCUGAUCAUUUUGUAUCAUGUGCACCAACUGCUUGCAUAUAUGUUGUUCCUACUCAAGCAGUGAACCAAACAGGUAUGGUAAUAUCCUCCAUAUGGUGCAAUUAAUUUAGAACAAAUAAUCCUGAGCUAUUUCUUACAAAUGUUGUUUGCUAUUUCUAGGAUUUCUAUACGUGAUUUGACAGAUAAAUGUCGGCGGAAACGAAAGUGUAAGCUCUAUUGAGAAGCUCUUAAUUUUGCGCAGGACAGAUUUUCUGUACUGAUUAUCAUUUUUUGCAGACGAUUCCUUAUAUAUAAAUUGUGGAGGAGGAGGCACAGUUUUUGAUGGGAAAGAGUUUGAAGCAGAUAGUGCAACAUCAAAUUAUUAUUCAGCUCCAAGAAAAAAUUGGGCUUAUUCUUGUUCUGGAGACUUCGGAUCGAAAACUUACGAUUCCAGUGAUUACAUAAAAAACGUAGAUUGUGGAGUUUGUGAUUCUGCUGCGACACAGUUAUACAACUCAACUCGCCUCUGCCCUCUUUCUCUGACAUAUUACGGCUUCUGUUUAUCUAAAGGAAAUUACACUGUGAAACUUUACUUCGCUGAAACUGUUUACCAAAGUGAUGAAGAUUAUUCGAAUUUAGGGAAACGUGUUUUUGAUGUAUAUAUACAGGUAACCGCUAUAUUUUUCUGCAGCUUCUUUAAAAAAUUUCCAUCGUUAAACCUCCACUGUUUGAUAUAGGGGAACAGAACACUUAAAGACUUCAACAUAAAAGAAAUGGCCAACGGCACCAAUAAGACAUGGAGCCAAGAUUUCCCAGCAUAUGUAGGAGAUGAUCAUCUAUUGACUAUCCAUUUUUUCCGGGCUGGCAAAGGAACUUUCCUGGAGCCAAGAGUUUUCAAUUCACCUGCUGCACUGUCUCUAAAUGGACCCCUUGUGUCAGGCAUUUCCGUAACUGCAAGUAAAGAGUUGCAUUCUCUUAAUUUGUUGAGCAAAUAUUUCUGCUACCCUUUAUCUGGAUAAAUAAUUUUUUCUUUCUGUCUUCCACUAUUUGUAUCCAGAGUUCAAAGUUGGUGGCAAGGGACUAUCUCCUUCACAAAUUGCAGGGAUUACUGCAGGUUCAGUAUUUGCUGCUAUACUUCUGUCGGCUUACAUGUGGAAAAUGGGCUUGCUGCAGCAAAGCUAUUUGGGUGGUAACUCUCUAUGCUAAUCUAAAAUCAUUAUGCACCAUACAACCUUAAGAAUUCUUACUUUGAUGUUUUCUUCAAAUAGAUAAACCUAUACAGGUCCAAAAUGAAGGAGGUCAAGGAGAUGGAGAAUCUUUCACCCUCAAAGAAAUAAACGAUGCUACUCGAAAAUUUAGCCCCAAAAUGAAGAUUGGCGGGGGACGCUUUGGAAUAGUAUACGAGGUCAGAUUUUCUUUUUUGAAACAUUUGUUCCUCAACAUGCACUUUUUUCUUUCAGAGUUCUGGUAACUUGAUUUCACGUGUAUGCAGGCUGAAUUGCCGAACAAGAGAAAAUUAGCAGUGAUGAAGAUUUCUCCUCGUUCAAAGCAACAAGGAAAAGAUGAAUUACAAGGGGAAAUCUCCAAACUGAAAUCUUUGGAUCAUGAGAAUCUUGUUCAAUUAUUGGGUGACUAUUCUAAUAAAGAUCUGCAUCUGCUACUAUAUGAAUAUAUGCAGAAAGGCUCCCUUCAACGUGCGUUGUUCGGUAAUACUGCCAUCAACCAAUUUUCAUCCUGCUCUUUCGAUUCUCAAGUUUUAUCUUAAUUUUCACCUAAUGCAUUGCCUUGCGAAAUUCAUAUAAUUGUUGAGAACUAUAACACAGGAGUAAAUAGAAUUCCGUCACUUAAUGUUUGUGAGAGCUUCUAAUUGUAUAUUUAAAUCUUCUGUUAGUACAAGGAUAAUGUACUUGCAAAUAUCAUUAACUUAAUAUCAAUAAUCUUGAUUUGUAGAACCAAAUUCCACGACAGAACUUGAUUGGAAAGCUAGAUUUGAUAUCUGUCUGGGAAUAGCAAGAGGUUUGAAGUAUUUACAUGAAGAGAAAAGGAUUGUUCAUGGAAACAUAGAGCCUGGUAAUAUUAUGCUUGAUAACUCUCUUACGGCCAAGUUGUCUGCCUUUGGAUUGGCAACGCUUUUUGAUGAGGAAGAUCCAUUUAUGACCAACGAAGAAAAAGAGUCGCGGUAAGUAUUAUGAUCAUUGAUUGACAACUACUUUCAUUCUUUUAAUUAAGAGCUAAUUAACCAAUAAUUAAUCUCCUAUUGCAGAGUUUACAUGGCACCUGAGUAUUCAAUGGGAAAAGCAAUGGAUACUGUUAAAGCUGAUGUUUACAGUUUCGGAGUUGUCCUACUCGAAAUAGUUAGUGGGACAGUUAGUGCAGAAUAUACACCUAAUCAAGAAGAAGCUAAGUUUCUUCUGGAUAAAGUAAGUGUAUCUGACAGGAUAAACCCUCUUAUUUUUUUAUUUUUUUGUAGUUAUUAUCAAACCAAACAUGUUCUGCCAACAUUAGAUGACUUGUGAAUUCUACAACAAGCUCACAGGAGAAAUUUAUAAUAAAAAAGUAUAUUAUUAUUUAAUAAUUUGAAAUAUAUGUUAUACUCAACUCAAGCAAGAUUUAUAUAAUCAUAUAACAAGAAACAUAAAAAAAAUAGAAUAAAAUAAACUAUAGAAAAAUAUUUUUGAUUAGAUGAUUAAAUUUAUUUCUUGAUUACCUAGAGCUGUUCAAUUCCUACUCUUUUUUUUUUUAAUUAAUUAUUUUCUUAACACAUCCCCUCAAACUCAUGAUAAUUUUAUUUUUAUUGAGUUUGACAUACACAACUUCUAUUGUCAUUAUAUGCUUAUCUUUAAUAAUUGUAUUUUUCUAAACAUAGCUAUUAUUAGUUUUUUUUUUUUAUUAUUAUUAUUCUCAUAUGCUUGUUGCUAUACUUCUCUAGCCAAACAUUUCUUUUCAAAAUUUGAUUUUUCAAGUGCUUAUUUUAUUUUGACUCACUCUUAGUCAAAGUAAUAUAUUCUUCUUAUCAUGGCUCCUUAGCCGUUUUCUAUCUCUUUUGUUAGGAAGAACUUCUUUUUUUUUUCUUUUUUCUUUUUUUUAUUAUAGGUGGUCUCUUUUAUAGUAUCUCUUGUGCAAAAACAUAUCAGCUUGCACUAAGUCUUUUUUCUUUUUUCUUUUUUUUUUCUUUUUGCAUGUCUUUAUGUUGAUGUAGAAUCUCAAUUUUCUUGUUGGACUUUGUUGUACCUCCAUUGUUUUUAAAAUUCUUUGGAUGUUAUUUGAUCAUCCACAUGAUUUUGAAAUAAUUUCUCCUUAUAUGAGUUGAUUUAUCAUUGAAAAGGAAUAGUAAAUUAAAUAUUUGAUCGAUAAUGAAGAGUUUGAAAACAAAGUGUUUUAAAAUGAUUGGAUUGAUGGCAUAAAAUUGUCCAUCAAAAAAACAAAAGCUAAUCUUUAGAGCAGUAUAUAAUCAACCUGCUCUGAUACCAAAAAAAGAUUUAAAAUAUAAAAGGAUAUAUAUUAUUAUUCGAUAAUUUAAUACAUGUGUUACAUUCAACUCAUGAGGAGUUUAUAGUCAUAUAACAAGACCUAUAAGUAAAUGGAAUAAAAUAAAUUAUAAAAAAUAUGCUUGAUCAUCUCCUUUAAUUGGAUGAUAAAAAUAAUUUCUUGAUUGCUUAGAGUUAUUUAAUUCCUUGAUUUUUUUAAUUGAUUAGAAAAUAAUAAGUAAUAAUUACUUGAUUAUUUCAUUAAUACUGGGAGCUAAGCUAAUCUUGCUUUUCAAUUGCAGGCAGGUGUUUUGAACGAUAAGGGAAGAAUCAUUGAAUUGGUGGACCAGAAAUUAGAAUCCAAUUACAACAAAAGGCAGGCUCUCAUUGUUUUGCACCUGGCAAUGAAGUGCGUUAAUCCGUUUCCUACUCUCAGGCCUAAAAUGUCCGAAGUCGUCAAUGUACUUGAAUGUGAGAAAAGCCCUCAACCAAUUACUCUAUCAAUAAAUAUUGGAGGACUGUACGGAACGAUUUCCAGGCUGUUGGAAUAGAUCUAUUUUCUUAGAUAAUUGGUAAUGUUAAGUUUGAUGAUGAAAACCUUUUGCCUCCUCUUCUUUAUUUUGUAAUUACUUUGGUCUAAUUAUGUGGUGGUGACAAGAGAACAUUGAUGUGUGCGUGAGAGACUCCAUGAAAAAAUAUGUGUGUUUGUUUUGUUUGCUAUGAUUUAUUUAUGUUGUUAUGGCUGCUGGUAAUUUCGUGAAUUGAAUAAUAUUAUUAUUUGGCAUCCUUUAUAUAUAGCCUGUAUAAAGGAUAAUUUUAUGGUAUUAUCUACUUUACAAACUCAUUAAAUUUACGCAACUACAAUUUUAAUAUUAAAUAUUGGAUCAUAUUUUUAUUUUGGAUAUUGAUCUAAAAUAAUUACAUUUGGAUCAAUAAAUCUAACAUAAUUGUAAAACUUGAUAUAGAGUUGAUCAAGAUAAGAUACAGGUUAUGAAUUAAAAAGAUCAUCCUCAAAUGUUUUUUUUUAAUAUGAUAAAAAUCAUAUUUUUCUUUUAUAAAAUUAUUUUUAAAAAUUGAGGGCCGGGUGUUGACCGAUCAAUAAGUUAACUUAAAAUUUUUUUUAUCAAAUCAACUGAAUUAUUUAUUUAUUUAAUUUAAACCGCUCCAAAUUCUAAAUUAAUUAAAUUUCAGAUUAACCUAUAGGGUGAAUCCAAGUAGUAGCAUUAUAUUGUCUAUUUAUGAAAAACUCUUAAACUCUUAAACUUGGACCAGUUAGAUACAUAGGUAGAUGUAAAAGGUAUACUUUACUUUUUUGUAUAACGAAAAUAAAUACAAAUAAAAUUAUGAUACAUGAACAUUAAACGUCUAAAGAGACUUUUUUGGUAUAAAUAUUGCAUCAAUGUCGAAGCUAAAUGAUUGUCUUAGGAUACUUUCAUGAAUAAGACUAAUUAAAAAUAAAUUUGCUUUCCAAACCUAAGAAGUUUGAAUGGAAUAAGUCCCUUUUAUUACAAUCUGAACUUACCCCUUGAUAUUCCCUGCACAUAUAGCUGUUAAUAUUAAAUUUUUUUAAAAUGGAUUAGAUCGAUUACUGGAUAAUUACGUUAUGCUACUAGCCGAACAAAAAAAAAUGUAUAAAAAAAUGUUUAGGCAACGAGUAAUAUUCUGAUAAUAUUAUUAAAUUUAGAGAAAUGAUUUAGUUUUGAAUUCUUUUUAUUUAAUUCAAAUUUCAAAUCAAAAUCAUGUUAGAGUUAAUUUAAUAAAAUAUAGUGAAUUUGACAGGUAAAAUAUUAACCUAAAUGCCAGAUAAAAACUGACUUUGAAAAUCUUUUUUAAAAUGACAAUUUUUUUUUAAAUUGAAAUAAUAAUAUAUAUAUAAUUAAAUUAAUUUAUUAAAUUCAUGAUCCAAACAAAAUUGUUUUAAAACCUAGACUAGCCGAUAAAUCAGCCUAGACCCAGUUAAUCUAAUCUAUGAAUGGAGCCAUUCGAGUUGAAAAAAAAAUAAAAUCAGCUGACCUGUUUAACUAACUAUCACACCGUUGAUGAAUUUUAUUUUUUUGGAUUUUUUAUUAAAAUAUUAUUUUUAAAACUAUAAUAAACAGUGCUUUUGUGAGACGGUCAUAGUGAAUUCCCCUCUUUUGUAAUUUUUUUUAUAAUAAUAAUAAUAAUAGAGAAAAUGAAGACGUAAGAAAAAAUAGCACUGUACUGUAAGUAUUUAGCGGUUAGUGACACGGUAACGACUGGCAAUCUGUUUAUGCAGAGCCCAAAAAACCAUAACCGUCGAAUCAAGCACACAUUUUGACCAAGAUCCCAUAAAAACCCAAUAAUCCAAAAGCAAAAUUGGUGGCUGAAAUCAAGUAAACCGUGAACCCUUUUCGUAGAUAGAAGGCAAAAUCGCUUUCUUGUGUUUUUGUGGGGUUUAUAAAGGGAGGAAAGAUAGGAAUCUGCGUGUCAAAACCAUCUGCCGCAGCAGCAGCAGCCCGGGAGGAGGUAGUGGUGAGGAGAGUAUUGCCACCGCCACAAUCACCGGCGCCGGCAGCGGCAGUAGCGACAAAGGGAUAUUCUGGGCUGUUGAGUAAUUCGAAAUCGGGACAUCCAGUGCGGAGGACUCCUGUCGAUAUAGUUAGACAGACUCGCGAUCUUUUAAUCUAUGCCGAUCAGAGUUCAGCUUCUCUAUCAGAUUCAAAACGAGAAGAGAAGGUUGGCAGUCUCUUUCUUAUCAUUUCUAUAUAUUUUAUGUGUGCUUGUGUUCCUUUUCUGUUGUUUUCUUUUAAUUAGGUGGAUUUUGAUUGAUUUGAGAUUGUUUGGGGUCUGGGUUGCUUUUCUUUUUUUGCUUUGGAUGAGAAAGGUUCAAUCUUUAUGAAAAAAUUGCGUUUUUUAGGGUGAUUCUUGAUGUCUGAUUGAGGUUUGGAUUAGAGUAUGCUAUAAUAUGCUGUGAUAUUUACAUAGAUAGGAAGAAAUAGUUAAUUUUCUGAGUGCUAAUGUGAUUGCAAAGAGGUUAGUUUGCUGGCCAAGUUUAACUUGAAUGUGGUUGGGUGUGCUGUGAGAGGAAUCUGAUAUUACUGGCAGUUGGUUGGGUGUAAAGGUUUUAGCUUUUUAGUAGCUUUAGUAGUCAAGGGAGUAAUUAAAAGUGGAAACUUUGAUUGUAGGUUUGUGAAUUUGGUGUGAUCUGUGGCGCUAUAUGUGUCAUUGAUUUGUUUCAACUAGUUUGUUCACAAUAAAAGAAUUAGAUUAGUGUUGUUGAAUUUUGGUGAGUGUAGAUGUAAGAUUGCGAUGAACAUGCAUUAGGGUUUUGAAGCUUCUGUCAAGCAUUUUAUUUGUGGAAUUCGAAUUUGACAAUUGUAUUUUCUAAUACAGAUGGCAGAGUUAGCUAAAAAUAUCAGGGAGUUGAAGUAUUUUCUAAAAAUUUUAUUUGUCUUUAUUGCAUGUUUAUGAAGUUUUUAUGUUUCGGCCUUGUAUUUGCUAUUAGUUGAAGUGUGAAUCUGAGACUUUUAUAUUGUUUUGUUGCAGGAACUAUUGACAAGACAUAAAUCUACAGUAGCUGAAUUUCUUUCUAAGAACUAUGAUUGGGUGAGUUCUGCUGUUACUUAUGUUUAGAUGCUAACUUGUACAGGUUUAUACUUGUUUCUGCUAUGUAUGCCUUAGGUCAUCCCACACACACAAGGUGGUGGAUGAUAGGCAUGCCCAAUCCUCUUGUUUUCUAAAGAAUUUGUAGGCAGAGCAGUAUUUUGGUGAGAAAACUUGUGGCUGAGAUUAGAGAAAGAUGAUGUGCAGAUUUAAUUAUCUGGUGAUGCAUUAAUAACACGAUAUCGUGACUGUGCAAUGAUGGAGACAUAAAGCAGAAUCUAAACCAAAAUCGUAUAAAAGUAAUGUAAAGGUUUUAAGCUCUAAUGGUUUUUUUUUAACACCCAAAUUCAAAUCCUAUAUACCUAUAGAUACAUAUGUGCGCAUAUAUUGCCUCAGUUAUGCACGCACUGACACUGUAUAAUGGGGCAUACCUGAUCCUCUAUAGUUUUUUCAAAGAAUUUGAAGGCCAACAAAAGUGUUAGCCGGAAAACCUUUGGUGAGAUUAGAGAGGACGGUUUGCAAAUUUAUUUUUCUGGUAAUGCAUUAAUCAUCUCAAAAUAUUGUGGCUCUGCAAUGAUGGGGCAUAUAAAGUAGAAUCUAUUACUCGACUCUCUGAUGAAUUGAGCAGCUUUAUCUCCUCAUUUUUAUAGCAUUCUUCUUUGCUUUUUUAAACUGCAUGUUGGUAGCUACAUAUCUAUGACAAAAACAUGAAUUGCAACAUUCUAAAUGUGUCUUUAUUUCCUGUUGUGGUCAUGCUUGCUAAAUGUUGGUCAGAGCUUGACAUUGUCUAACUUUGUAUGGACUUCAGUUUUUUGCUGAAUUUAAUUCGAAGCUGCUAGAAUCCACCAAUUACAUUACAAGACGACAAGCUGUCAAGGUAGGGAAACUUAAUUAUAUCCCGCUCAUAUAUCAUUAGAACAUUCAAUGAAGCAAUUCUCUAGGCAUCUGAACCUAGGAAAAUGCUUUCAUUAAAAUGUGCUUUGUUAUUGUCAUUGAUAAUUGUACUAUUUAUUAAAAAGGCUUCUUUAAUUGUGACAGCUGUUGGGAGAUAUAUUAUUGGAUCGUUCUAAUGCAGUUGUGAUGACACGAUAUGUGAGCCUAGAGAGUAGUCAUGAAAGAGCUUGGUUGUUUAUUGUAAUUAUUUUACAUAAAUUGUAGCUCUCAUAGCGAUCUGUGGUAAAAUUACAUGUAUUGAAAGGAAGAGAGAAAUAAAGAGACAUGAAUCGAGUUCAAUCCAAUACUCGGCUUUUAGAAACCCUGUUAGAGAGCAUGUUCAUGUUUUUGUGAACCAUGUCCUCUAUUGGAAGCCGUCAUUAUUCAGCUUCACCGUAUGUUCAUUCCCCAUGGUAACCUACUUGAAGCCAUAUAGGUCUCCCUCUCCAUAUGUACACAGACUUAUGUACAAGUUACGAGUCCUUGUUCGAGGGAGUGCGGACGUAAAGUUGCUAUAACUCUUGUCAAUGGUAGGAGUCUGAACCAAGUCUCAAGUGAGGAGAGUAGGCAGCAGUCGCAUGUUACUAGAUUCCCACCGCCAUUAGGGGUCCUCCGUUACACCAUUUGACCGUAUACAGAGUAUCAAAGGACAUUCCUCAGCAGAACCUACUGAGGAUGAUAUGAUAGGAAGCUUCGUUUGGUGGGCCACAGGGUAGAGAAUUCACACCAAAAUUCUUUUCUUCUUGCCAGGAAAGGAGUCAUUUUCUUUAUUAUUAAAGAUGAGGCCUCCAUGUGUGAGUCACGACUCACGAGUGAACAUCACCAGCAUAUUCCAAGCAUCUACUUCAAUUCCAAAACCAGAAUGUUCUCUGCUGCUAUCACUUUUUAUCCUACAUCUAAGAUCCGGUUCAGUAUAUAGGCUAACCUCGUAAUCCGAGUUAAAUAGGUGGAACAACCUAUUAUUUUUUAUAAAAAAAAUAAUGUUAUUUCAAAUUUUAUUUAUUAAUAUAGAUUAAUCCAUCCAGUAACAUUAACCUUCAACUAAGUUGAUCCUCGAUUCGUUACUGUAACUAUGUUUUUAUUGCCAUAAAAAGAAGAUGCGUUUAUCAUCCGAAUUUACUUUCCACCAUAUUCAUUUCGUAUUCUCACGGUAUCUGAUUUUAAUGCUUUCAUCAGCAAUCACUGAGUUUGAUGCUGGGUUUUUUUUUUUUUUUUAAAGAAAUGUAAGAUUUUAGGUAUUUUAGUUCUAGGAAAACUACAAAUAUACCCCCAGUUAUUAGGGAGGUUUUAAUUUGGUCCCUAUCUUCCUAGGCUCACCAAUGAUGCCCUCCAUCAUUCAAAAUUGAGCAAAUCUCUUUCCCCAUCAUUUGGAUGUUAAUAUUUUCUUAUGUUAAUAUUUUCUUAUGUUAAUAUUUUCUUAAUUUCAUAGGAAAACUCAAGAGUAACAAUAUGACGUAGGGGAAGAGUAGCCAUAAAAAAGGGUUAAAAGGACUCAAAAGGCACCACUAAAGGACUUCCUUUUUCACCAGGAAUUUGAUGCAAAAAGUACACAGACUGGGUGAAAAGGCAGAUUCUUCAGCAUAUAUAUGUAUAAAGAGAGAGAAAAACAGAAAUCAAACGGUCCAUUUUGUGGUUUGCCUGCUGCUUCCUUUUAGACGUAAAAAAACUCGAGACACAGAGCCUUUCAUCACCAUCACCUCCACCACAAUCUACUUCCCUCUGUCACUCUCUUCUUUCUACAUACAAAUUUUAAAACAUGGCACAGAAUGGUAGGACCCCAUCAAGUUUUUUUAUUGCAUUCUUUCUCGUUUUGUUUUUGAUUUCUUGGUUCAUUUUCAGUAUGGGAUCUUGAUGAUUUUUGCAUUUUGUUUUUUAUUUGGGAUGUUUUAGAUUCUCUUUCAGAGUUCUUGCAGACUGCUGUUGAGGCAGCAAAGAGAGCUGGAGAGGUGAGAUAUAAAUUUUAGAUUUUGUUUUUCCUUUUUUAGGGGUCUCAAAUUUAGUCUCAUUUUCCAUUUCUUGUGUGCUUUGUAGAUAAUCCGUGAAGGAUUCUACCAGACCAAGCAUGUGGAGCAUAAAGGCCUGGUACCCAUCUUUGCUUUUCUUGGGUUCUUUUUGUAUCUCUUUUUCUUGUUGGUCGUUAAUCAAGGUAGUCUUAUCUUGGACAUUCUUGUUGCAUCAUGUGAUCUUGAAUGUAGAGUCUGUGUAGUGCUUAGCAAUUUUUUUCCCCUAAAGAAAGGAGAAUUGUUGAUCAAAUGCUGCUAAAUAAUCUUGAAUUCAGAUCAGUGAUUGAUUAUAUCUGAUUGCAAAUUGAAUUUAGAAUGCAAGGGGGACCUUUAAGAUCCCAGUUUGUAAAGCUGAUGGAAAUAAAAUUUUAAUCUUGGCAUUGAGGUGAUCUUGUUUUGGAACAAAACUAGGAAUUGAAUUUAACAUGCCGGGGGAGCUUUAAAAUGGCAAUUGAAUUUAGCAUCAACGUCUGUAAAGCUAACGGUAAUUGAAUUCAUCGUGCAUGAGGUGCUAAAAUCCUUGUUUGUAAAGCUGCUGGGAAACAAAGUUUUUAUCUUCACGCUGAGGCUGAGGUCAUCGAGUUUGUAAAAAAAUUGAAAGUGCUUUUGCUAUUUUGUAAUGCUAGCAUAUUUCCUUUGUUAAUUGGACUGUAUCAUCAUAACUGUGGACCAGAGGAGAAAAUUAAAAAAUUAGAAGUUGCCAACCCAUUUGUGUUAAUUUAGCCCGGAUAAAAGUGCUGUGGCUAAACAUACUUCACUAUAUGCGUGUAAUUACUGACAAUUGUUUAUUUUAUUUCUCAAUUGCAGGUGGAUUUAGUUACUGAGACUGACAAGGCUUGUGAGGAUCUUAUUUUUAAUUAUCUCAAACAGCAGCACCCCACACAUAAGGUUAACAACUUACUUUAGUAUUUUCUACUUUGUAGGUGAUGAAUUUGAGCAUUAUUGAUCUGUACGGGGAAUAUUGUCUCCUAAAAAGUGCCUCUGUUUUUCUCUUGAAAGUUCUCUUUUGCUGGUUUUCUUAGUUCAUUGGGGAAGAAACUACUGCUGCCUGUGGUAUUACGGAACUGACUGAUGAACCGACAUGGAUAGUUGAUCCUCUUGAUGGAACAACCAACUUUGUCCAUGGGUAAAUGCAAUUUUUUUUUUUUAACAUUGUUUAGUGAAGGCAAUUUCCUCUUGUUUUUAUACAUGUAACAUCACUUUAAUUUGUCGCAACAUGUUUGGAUGUAGGUUCCCCUUUGUGUGCAUUUCUAUUGGUCUUACAAUUGGAAAAGUUCCUACAGUAGGUGUUGUUUACAACCCAAUAAUGGAAGAGGUGAGAUUUUAUAUAUUGCAUGUUAGUUUUAGGUGGCCAGAUAUUACUUUGAACUUUAAAUGAUUAAAAUUUUAUGUAGAACAUGCACAGUUUACCUCCUUUCAUAUAGCCUGGUGAUCUUCUACAUGUAUGCUGGAUGUUAGUGCAUCUUUCCUCACAAAAUGAACACUGACCAGUGACCACUAGUUUUCAGCUUCAUGGUCCUCUACUCAGAUAAAUGUCUGCUUUAUGAUGUUGAGUCUGCCAGUAUUUAAAUAUCGGGAAAACGAGUAUCUAGCUAUAUCUAAGCAGUUAGUCCAUCAAACUUUUGUCUGCCUUCUUGAACACUUCUUGCUUUCACUUCAGAUAUGUGGUCGUAUAUUGUCCCAUUUAACAUCGAAGUUAAUGUUCUGUCAAAAUUUUAUAGAAUUUGAAAUGUGAUCCAGUAAUUUGCUAAAAGAUUUUGGAUUUAUAAAUGCAGCUUUUUACAGGCGUCCAUGGAAAAGGUGCAUUUCUGAAUGGAAAACCCAUAAAAGGUGUCUCUGAGUUGACUAUUGUCAGUUUCCAUAUUUUGAUACUUUUGCAUGCUAAUCUUUCCAUGAAACUUAAGCAGCUAUGUACUUGUGUUUCGAUUGCAGUAUCAUCUCAAAGUGAGCUUGUGAAAUCUCUUCUUGCAACAGAGGUAUGCUUUUCAGCAUCAUUUUUGUCUGCCCAAACUUGCAAACUGAGAUGCUUUUCAGUUUAGAUAGCUUAAACUGAAAUAUAACCGGGAAUCAGUUUUGAAACCUGAGAUGAAUUGGUGCCCUACUGUCUCAUAUUUUUUUGGUACAAUUCUAUCCUUCUAACUGUACAUCUCCAAUUGGUUUCUUAUUGGAUCGGUUUGAAGGGUGUUAAAAUUGCCUUGGGCACAAUCAAUUUCAGUCUUAACUCCAGAUAGUGUCAGAAAUGUUAAGUGCUGAGUAAGGGUAGCUUGUUUUAACCCUGGAUUGAUUUUUCUGGCAUGCUAACCCUUCUCGUUUAUAUUAAAAUAUUGUUCGUAGACUCUAGAAAUCCAACUCCCUGUAUUUGAAAUGCAGAUCUAUGCGUUGUGAAUGUAUUUAGUUUUUACCAUGUUGCACUUGCAAAUACCCUGCAAAAGGAGUGCUUUAAGUUCACCCCUGUUAUGCUCUGUGUGGAAUCUGGUUAAAACUCCUUUCUACUUCAAGUCCACUCCUUUAUGUUUCAUAAAGGAAUCAUGUUAGGAACUGACCAAACUAAAAUCUUCUAAGAGCAGGCUGGAACAAAACGUGACAAGUCUACUGUGGAUGCCACUACGAACAGAAUUAACAGCUUACUUUUCAAGGUGAGACCAGAACAUGCUGUGGAAGCUAUGUUCUUUGGUAAAAUGUAUUGGUUUUCUUAAAAUUCAUAUCUGAUUAUCUUGUUAUCAGGUGAGAUCCCUUAGGAUGACUGGCUCCUGUGCAUUGAAUCUUUGCGGAGUUGCAUGUGGAAGGAUUGAUUUGUUUUAUGAAACCGGAUAUGGAGGCCCGUGGUACGUAUUUGUGAUUGACGCAAGAAAAGUUCAUCUGGACGCAUGAUUGAUAUAAUCUACUCUUGAACUCAGGGAUGUGGCAGGUGGUGCUGUGAUUGUCAAAGAAGCUGGAGGAAUCGUUUAUGACCCGUAAGUGAUGCUAUUUAUAUUUCAUCCCUUCCACAACUUAGGUGGGGGUAGUGUGGGAUAUAGAGAGGAUAGUCCCAUGCAUGGACAUGAAAGAACAGUGUUUAUCGAAUGUCAACAUGAUUUAAUCGUCGUCUUGUGACAUCCUCAACUCUGUCAUCCGGGCAAGCAAUAGGUCAAAGAUAUUAAGAACAUAAGCAUAUGCUCACAUUUUGUCCAGAAUAUAAUGCGUGUUCUGAUAUUUUGAUGGUUGCUCUUUCGGCUACAGAUCUGGUAAAGAUUUUGACAUCACUACUCAAAGAGUCGCAGCUUCAAACCCGCUUUUGAAGGAAGCAUUUGUUGAGGUUUUGCAGCAAUCAGAAUGAGACAAUUCAAUAUCCUUUGUAGCAAUCAGAUGAGCUCAGUCGAUAUCGUCGUUAAGGCUUAAAGAAACAUCUUUAACUGAGAGAGUGGCAGCAUCAAUAAUGAGUCUUCCAAUUUGUUGUGGUUUUUAAACAAUGCCUACUUAUAUGUAUACUCUAAUUGAGAAGACAACUACCAUUGUUGAUCAUGCAGACCACCAUGUUACACAGAUUGUGUGGUUUAUAUACCAGUUUUUCUACACUUCUCAUUGAGCAAGGAUCAUGCCUUGUUGAACCAUAGCUGCUUCUUUCUGUCUCUCCCAGUGAUACCUGAACCUAUUAGCUUGAUUCUUCUCUAAACAGAACUGAAUUCCAAAAAGAAUUUUGCAUCUUUCGUCGUAGCUGCAAAGUUCUCUGCAGCCAGAAUUGGCAAAAAGUGACCACAGCUGACUGCAGCAAAAUGCAGACAGGGAAUUCUUGAUUGAAUUUAUGAAUUAUUUGAAAGGUUCAUGAUGCAGGCGGAAACAAGAAACAAGAAAGACAACACACAGAAAUACAGUAUUUUGCAGAAAAAGUUUCAAUUAAUUUUAAUUCUAAUUUUUAUUACUCAAUAUUUUUCCAAUAAAAAGUAUCACAACUAUUAUAUGCUAUUUAUAUAUUAGAAAAAACAAUUUUAAUAAAAUUAAAAAACUGUUAAAUACGCAUCAAAACCAAGAAGUUAAGUUUCUUUUGAAUAAAGUAAGUGGAUGAAUAAAUCUUUUUUUUUUUUUGUUAUUAUCAAACCAAACAUAUUCUGCGAACAUUAAAUGCUAAUUAACGAAAUUUAUAAUAGAAAAGGAUAUUAUUAUUUAAUAAUUUGAAAUAUAUGUUAUACUCAACUCAAGCAAGAUUUAUAUAAUCAUAUAACAAGAACCAUAAAAAAAAUAGAAUAAAAUAAACUAUAAAAAAAUAUAUUUGAUUAGAUGAUUAAAAUAUAUUUUUUUCAUGAUUAAAAUAUAUUUCAAUAUUUCCCCAAAUAAAGUUCUAGUUCGCACCAGCUUGUGUUUUGACUUCUUUUUAUUUGAACUGAAAGCCCUUUUAGCAUUUCAAAAUAUAUCAUAUUUACCCUGUCCUCCUCACAAGUAUUUCCCAUCUGGUCCCCCCCUUUUGACCUCAAAUUUUGUUCAAGGUGUGCCAUCUUUUCUUCAUUUAUUUGUGAGUAACAACAACUACAAGCUCCUUUCCUUGUAUUGCUUUUGGCUACUUUAGAUUUGUCUUUCUUGUUCAAUUCUAUACAUUGCUAUUUAGGAUUUAGAUUUCUUCCGUAUCUGUAACUGAAAAGCGCCAACUUCUUUGCUUGCUCUUGCUAUAUUAUGCAAUCUUGGAUUUUGAUUUCACUUCCUUAUUCAUCCCUCUUAAUGGAUUUUGGUUUCCAUUGUUCUGCUAUGCUCUGCCUUGAUAAGAGUCCUUAGUUUCUAUAUAUCUUAAAGCUCAAUAGAUUUCCAUAUUUCCCCAGUAAAGUUCCAGAUUUCGAAAUGAUGGGCAUUGUAGGAUCUAGACGUUUCAUUUGUGUACUUUUGUCAAUCUUAAGUUUGGUAUGUUUAUCUAGUGGAUUCACUCAUAUAGACUGUCACAUGUGUGCGGCGUCGCGGUAAAAAUUGUUCCACUUCAAAUCUAAAUAUAAUAUCUAUCUAUAUGGCAAAUAUAGGAAGAUAAAAAACUCUUGUCGUUUAUCGGUGGAAAAUGAAAUGUGAGUCACCACUUAAUAUUUUGGUCACUAGUAACCUUAACUGGUCUCAGAGAUCAGAUACGGGGACUGAUUGCGUAAAGGGAAGGUAUUAGUACCCCAAAUACGUCUUAUCUAAGUUAAGCUGUAUUGUUUAAUUGUCUGAUAAAAAGCUAAGGUGUUAUUAUAUUUCUAAUUGUUGGUCUGUUUAUGGUUCAAGAAAAAUUCUCCUUAGUAAGGAGGUCCUUAUCGUAUCGGGUAAAAAUCUAAUUGUUCUAACGUCUAUUUGAAAACUAUAUUUUCAAUAUCAGGAAUACGUUUUACGUAUAAAUUCAUAAUCUCAUAUACUAAAAGAAGACAAAAAGAUUUUUAAAUUUUUUUGAAAUAUUGCCUGGUUUUCAUGGCUCUAACAAACUUGUUGUUAAAACCAAAAUGCAUGCUAAUACGUAUAUUUUUUAAAAUUUUCUUUAUUGUAUAAAAAUAUGAUAUGAUGAUUUUUUUUUUUGAGAAACUAGACCGUAUGCAUGAAAACAAAACCUUUAUAUAUAUAUAUAUAUAUAUAUAUAUAUAUGUCUUGACGAAAACCGGAAAUUUUAAUACUGGAUUAGUAUCUUUAUAGUAUAAAAAUACAAAUCAAUAUAAAGCAAUAAAAAUAUGCAUGAAAAUCAAUAAUGUUUUUUAAGAAUUUUUCAGAAUUUUGAAAACAAAACAUUUUUUUUAUGUCUUGACAAAAACCGGGUAUUUUAAUACUAGAUUUGUAUCUUUACAGUAUAAAAAUACAAACCAAUAUUAAGCAAUUUUGAUAAAAAUAUGCAGGAAAAUCAACAAUUUUUUUAAGGAUUUUUCAGAAUUUUUUUUUAUAUCUAUAUUUAUAAAUAAUAUAAAAACAUUAUAAUAUAUAAUAUAUAAUAUUAGGUGGGUUGGGUUGGGCCAGCCCAACUAACUGGGCCGAACUCAACCCCAAAAGGGUUGGGCCGAUCUCGGUCUAGUAGUUCACUCUGCCUCUUUGGGUCUGGGCCAGAUCCGGCCUAGACAUGAAGGCUGGGCCAGAAUCAACCUGGCCCACAAAACCCGCCUGGCCCAGAAAAAAAGGAACCCAUCAGUGUUGGGCCAGCAGCGACCUGGCCCAACAACAAAAAACCCACGGAUGGGGGGAAUUAUUUUCCCCCUCCUCUUCUCUUGCAUGCAGAACGAUAUUCGUUCUACAUGCAGGAGGAAAUGUAGCCAACAAAACAAAUGAAGGGGGGGAGGAGUUUACCUGGUGCGGUGGAGGCGAUGCCUUACUGUUCUGACUGCUUCGCUAGCGGUGCUGCGGUGGAGGCCGGUGGCAGUGUCGCGGCUCACGGACGGCGGCUUCAAGAAGCGGUGUUACUGCUUCAAGCGGCGGAGAGAGGGGUUAUUGCUCUUCCCUUCUCCUCCGUUUCCUUUCCUACUCUUUCGAUUUGUUUUUCCCUUUCGUUGGUUUGUUCUCUCUCCCUCUGGUUUGUUCUCUCUCUCUCUCUCUCUCUCCGUUCGUUCUCUCCGUUUUGUUUCUCCUGUUUUGGUUCGUUUUCUUUCUUUUUCGGUUCGUCCUCCUUCUCUCUUUUUUGUCCCCCUCGCGUGCUGGCGUUCAAUCUCCAUUUGUAGGGGCAAGGGAGCGGGACCUCUUUAUUGUUGUGCAUGGGGAGUAGGGCAGCACUGGGUUGGUUGGUGGGCACGACUGGCAAGGCGUGGCGCCCCUGAUUUCUCAUCAUCAAGGUGCUUGGGGCUUUGGGUCUUUCGUAGGGCACGCGGCUCGCAGGAAUCAAUGAAGAAAGAAGAAGAAAACUGUAUGCCUUCCCUUGCUGCACGUCCAGGGGAAGGAGAAAGAGGAACGGUGUCACUCAAAACGACACCGUUUUGCUCUUUGUUUUUUUUUUUUUUUAACAUGAAACGGCGUCGCUUUAUACAAAACGUGUCAUUUCAUUUAAAGGUGGCGCUAGCAUAUUCAUUUCCAAAUCAAUCCUUAAUUUAUCUUUUGUUCUUUUAAGUCCUCACAAUGUAAUCUUGAUUUUAAGAAUUAAUUCAAUUGCAUCCCUGCCAAUUUCAAUCGCCGCCCCUAUAGUUGUCCGCCUUUUCACUUUAGUCCUUGGUUUUGAAUUUGUGCAUUUGGACCCUCAAUUGAUUAAUAACCUUCCAAUUUCUUCAAUUUGACCCCUGAUUUGGUUGAUUACAGCCCCUCUAUUUACGCGCCUUUUCCAAUUUGGUCCUUGGUUUUGGAUUUUCUCAAUUAAAUCCCUAAGUGGCCAUUAAACUUUAAUAUUUAUGCAAUUAAGCCCCUGAUUUGACCAAAUCAACUCUCAAAAAUUAUAAUUUGACCCCAGAACUUUAAUUUCUUCCAAUUAAAGCCCAAAUUGACUUAAAAAUAAAUUUGUCUUGCAAUCAAACCCUUUAUAAAUUCAAUUAAACCUUCAAUAAAAUCCAAUUGAGUCCAUAAACAUCCAAUUUUGGACUUUUCUCUUUAAAUUGAAUUUUAUUUUCCAACAGGGCUCUCAUCAUUCAAGGAUAUACUGUCAAAAUUUUAAUCUUUGUAUUUUUAUCCUUCUUAAUCCAUUUUUCUGAUAAUUUUCUGAGCGCUCCCGUCACCUGUUAUUUUUUCUAAUUUCUUCCGGCUAUAUAUUUAUUUAUUAUUAUUUUAUCUUUUUAUUUUUUUUUUUAUUUUUGUGUGGGAUCCAAAAAUAAGUUACAAUAUAGACAAUUAUCUUAUAGACUGCGGAUCACUCAGCAAUACUACAGUAGGUAACCGUGUUUUUGUUGCUGAUAACUCUGCCUCCAACUUUCUUUCAACCCCGAAAAACACUUUUGCAAAUGCUUCAAUAUCUGUCACUUCUGGGGAUGAUUCACCGCUCUAUCAAACAGCAAGAAUCUUUGAUGGAACCUCAAAGUACACCUUUUUGAUUAACCAACCUGGGAGGCAAUGGAUUCGUCUAUAUUUCUAUCCAUUUGUUAGUGGUACUUACAACAUGAGCAAUGCGAGUUUUGGUGUUUCCUCAGCAAUUUCAGUGUGAAGGCUUCUGUUGUUAAAGAAUUUUCAGUUAAUGUAACCUCAAAGAACCUUGUUAUCACCAUCACUCCUUCAGGCAAUUCAUUUGCCUCUUAAAUGCCUUUGGAAGUCGUUUCAGUUCCCGAUGAGCUCAUUACAGAUGAUGCUGAAACUUUUAAUCCAGUGGGGAGACUGUUCAUAGGGUGAACAUGGGUGGACCAACAGUUUCCUUUGAGAAAAAUGAAUAUCAUUAUCUUUUUCCGAGAGUGUAUUGGUGUAGAAUGAUUGUAGUUAUCGAUUCGAAAUCGGAAACUAACUCGAAAAAUGGUUUAAAUUAUCAAAUAAUUCGAAUUUUCAGUUAAUAAAAAUGUUUUUAUUAAAUGGAGAAUUUCUCUCUUCUAAUUAAUUAUACUGGCUGAGUUUCUUAUGGUAAAUAAUCAUGUUUGCACUGAGAAUAAGUUUUCUUGCGGAUAAUUCCUUGUUUAUAAAUAGUGGUGGAGAGGAAGCAUAUGCGCGCGCGCGCAUGCAUGAAAGCUUAUUCACUUAUUUAAUUUUUAAAGAUUAUUUAAAUUAUGAUGUUAUACAAACACGCAUAGCCUAAAGGUUAAGUAUCGAAAAUUAAUAUAUAAAAACAAAUCAUGUUUAAUUAAUAAAAUAUUAUUAGAAUCUUGUUUUAAUUAAAAAUUAUAUUUUCUCGAUGUGAAUUAAAAUUGAUAAAACUUAUAAUACUUUAAGAUAAUAAUAAAAAUGAAGAUAAAUUUAAUGUAAAUUAAGGUGAAUAAACCUUUCUAAAUCGUUGGACUAAUCUAAAUAUGAUUUUAGCAUUUUAAAAACAUUAUUUAUGCACCACUUAGUAACUAAUCAAAUUCAAAUAAUUAAUUCAUGAUAUUAAAAAAAUAUUAUGAAAGUUAUUCAAAUCUUCUGAUUGAGGCAGCACGCCACACCACCUAAUUUGUUUUUCGAGUAUUUGAAUAUCAAUACAUGAUAAUUGUCUCCAUCCUUCGCCAGAUCUGAUUUUUCCAACCCGUUGCUGCUGUCCCCAAAAGUCCUCAUCAUCCGCAACGUCUUCUUCCCCAUCACCAUAGGUGUCCACGUCAUCGACCAUAUCAACCAAGCCUUCCAUGGUGAUACCCAUUCAUUAUUGUGGUGGUGCUUUAGCUUUAUUAUUUUUUCUCUGCUUGACAAUGCAAUUUUGAUCGAUUCGUGUACGAGAAAGAGGAGAGUCACUCUUUCAAGCAAGGAUGCUAUGACCUCAGACUUGAGAUCGAUUGAAAGAUAUAGUUUUGAAUGAAUCAAAUGUCAUCCAUCCCGCGUUUUGGGGCUGUCAUAAUGUGACAGUUUCGACUUCCAUCGGUCGACCUUUGUGCCUAGCGGCUUAGCCUACCUAAUGAAGCGCUUAGCUUCUGCUAGCGGCAGGCUAAAGGCUCUAUGACGGGCUUCCUUAUUUCAUGGGCUCUGCUCACUCGUCUACGAAAACAAAAUGCAUUAAGAUUUAAAACUUAAACUUGUCGUCAAAAAAAAUGGAAAUAGUGAAUCAAGAUUAGGCUCGACGAAAGAAUUGUCCUUGACAUAAUAUGGAAAACAAAAGAUGCUGAAUUACAUGAACAAAGACGCUAUUCUUUGAUAAUAGCAAUGUACAAAGGAGAAAUUAGUCAGCAAUAAAUAUCUUAUCAAAUUAACAUAAAAGGUAAAAGGUUUUGUAUGCUGAUACCCAUUCAUUAUUGUUUGUAGUUUUCAUAAACUAAUUAAGAUUGGAGCACAAUAUACCUUAAACAAAUAUCUACGCAGUGGCGGAGCCACAUGGGUGCAAGAGAAGCUAAUUGAUUCUUUAUUUUAUUUUUUUCAAAAUAAUUUUCUUUGUUAGCUACUUGUGAGCUUCUUUUUUCUAUACUAAUUAGUUAUUAAAAAUAUUAAAGUUUAUAAUAAUUUAUAGAUUUAUUGAAUUAAUAUAUGUAUAAGUAAUAUUAUAUGCUAAUGAAUAUGAAUUAAAAUAAGUUUUGAUGAAAUGAUAAGUAUUUUGCUAUAAAUUUUAUGUGAAAAUAAAGGUGAUGAAUUUACUAGUGAUUAAAAGUGAAGUACAAGACAACUAAAAAAAUUAGAAAAAUAAUAGAUAAAUUAAAAAGAAAACAUUUAAUAUUUAUUUUUAAUACACUUGUACAAAACAAGUCAACAAGAACAACAUCAAUUUAUGACAAUCCUUUUAAGCUAUGAUUUUAGAUGCUAUGUAUCAUAUAUCUGCAUAGAAUUAUUACCACGAACCAUCGUAAUCCUUAAAAGAUUUAGAAAUAGAUAAAUAAAAGUUUAUUGUAUAUAUUGAGAAAGAUAUUUUUAAUGAGAUUAAAAAUAAAAUUAUUAUAAAGCAAUUUUAAAAUAUAAAAUCUCGAAGAGAACAAUUAUAAUGUAAGUUUUUUUAUUUUAAAAAUUUUAAAUUAAUUAGUACAUUUUUUUAUAUAACACAUAUCUAUAUAAUAUAUAAUAUUAAAUAUUUAUAAGUAAUUUAUCCCUCAUUUAAAAUAUUAUGGCUACACCACUAUGUCUGCGCUACUUUUAAUUGCUAUAAUUAAAGUAAAUCUCAGAAAAGCAAGCUGUGUCCUGUGAUUUUCUCUCAUAUUUUGUGUGAAGCAAACCAAGUAUAGCUGGGAGUGGUGAUUUCGUUGCAUGGUUGUGAUCUUUACACCUCUGGAAUCUGCUGUAUUUUCAGAAAGCUGCUGGAAUCUGCUGAAUUUUCUUCUGGUUGAUUGGUAGUGGUUGAUCCAUACAAAGUUAAACAAUUUUGUGGGCUUCUGUACAGCCUCAGUGACAACUGUGGUCCAAAGUGGAAGAAGUACGUGCUUAUUGUACUAUCAUAAGUGAAGCCUGGUGGUUAGUUGUGAGGCACAAAAAUAGUUUGUUUUUCUUCUUUUUAGAUUCUUUGUAUUCUGUCUUAUCUUUCAGCUCCACUUAAUUGAUGGGCUGCUUUAUAUAUAAUUCUCUCCAUUAUUAUAUAGAUAUAAAAAAAGUGUGAUGGAUAUUUUUCUAUGAAUUGUGAGAUAAAAGACAUAAAACACAAGCUCACAUUACUCGGGAGAGGAUACUAGAUACAAAAAUAGUGUUGGAUUAAUAAUGCAUAAUAACUCAUAAUUAUAUAUUAUAUAUUUGAAUAAUUACUACCCAUUAAUUAUGCAUGAAUGAAUUCAAAUCUCAGACAUUGAAUUGAAUUCAAAUAUGCAAAUUUUACACCGUUUUAAGAACUACGAGAUAAUCAAUUUAAAAAGAUGCUGCUUUGGAAUCAUUUUGCAAUUUACUUGAGCCAAAAUUGUUAGGCCUCCAUGCAUAAUAUUGCAAGUUACUUUUCUCGGGUAUUUUGAUAUUUGGACAGGGACAAUUUGGUAAUGUGAGGUAAUUGAUUCAGAGUUAAUAACUGUUUGAACGGUAAAACAAUAUCUUUAUAAAGAAUGUAUGUCGUCUCAAGGGAAGCGCAUUGCAAGCUAAAGUAGUAAUGGCUAAGCUCUUUCCUAAGCUUGUUUCCUCUCUUGCCGUUCUUCUUCUUCUUUGUCAAUUUGGCUAUGUAGCCUGUCAACCACCGGUAUAUAGUCCAAGCAGAAACGCCACGUUGCCUGCAGAUGAAGGUACACACGCACGAUAUACUUUUCCAUCUACAUAUAUAUCCUUUUCCUGCUAUAUACAAAAGAAGGAAGAAAAUUUGUUUUCAAGAAUAUAAACUCAAUUAACUGUUUAGACUAUAAACUCACUCAUGUUUGCAAGAAACUGAUCCAAGCUAACAAGAGAAAGAAGAGAGAGCAGUACUUGAGCUGGAAGGAAGGGUCUUAAUUAUCUUUGUGACCCAAACAACGAAAAGCCUUAUGCACAAGAUACUGCUAAUUCUCUCUUCCAUUUGCACUCUCUAGUGCUUCCACAGCCUGGCAGAGAGUUCCGUAGUGCUAGCCUACGUACUGCAUAUCUUAGAUAUUUCCUGCUUCUCCAUUUUUUCCUAUAACUAUCAAGCGAAGUGAUUGGUUAAGGAUGAAGUGAUUUUUACGAGGUUUUUAUAAACAAGGGAGGUGGUAAGGAAAUCUAGAUAGAUUUUCAACAUGGAAUUAUAUGGAGUCAAUUCACACAUCCAUAAAAUUAGCACUAGUUUUUUUCUUCUUUUAGUUCGGAUUUGAAGCUAGGUAGAAGUAGCUAGGCCUGUUUGAAUCUUGCUAAACAAAAUAUGUGUUUCUUUGUUUAAAACGUUUGGCAGCAACGGCUUUGGAUGACUUCAUGACCACGUUAGGGGGGGGUUUGCUACUAGGCUCGGAUUGUUCUGAUUUUCAAGGCAUCACAUGCGAUUGCAGUUAUGAGAACAGCACAGUUUGUCACGUCACCGGCCUGUAAGUUCCUCAUCAACUUCAUCCAAUUUUCUUUCAUUUUUGUAAGGCAAUGCAUCCUCUUUAAAACUCACUGGUUUCUAUGUUGACGCCAUUUUUGGGAGGUAGAGAUCUCUCAAACCGCAAAUUAGACGGACAAAUCAACGCUACAGCCUUGGCUAGUCUCGUUCACCUAGAAAGAAUGUGAGUAUCAUAUGACAUGUGAUGAUAAUAAUUCGAAUCAGUAUACUGAGCUCAACUAAUUGAUAACAAUCCUAUUACAUUAAUAACAGUGAUUUGUCCUACAAUCAACUUUAUGGUAGCAUCCCUGACGUCACCAUGGGGAACUUGAGUUUACUCACCUAUCUGUAAGUGUUCCAGUACCAUGGUCAUAUACUACUACUGCAGUUUAUUUUGUUGCCAAUGUUCGUUAAAUACGUUCUUACUAUUAUUUUCCAGUGCUAAAAGUGACUAAAUGGAUAAGUUAUCAAUUUCUAAAACAGACUAUGUAUUAUACUUUAUCUACUAUUGGGUAACCAUAUAUAUAUAUAUUACACACAUAUAUAUUGAUGAUGGUUGAAUUUUUUUAAAAAAAAAAAAUUAAAUUUAUAUUUUGUAAAUUGACAAGUAUUCACGAAUAUAGGAAAAUCAAUGUUAAUUUUAUGAAUAUAAUUAUCUCAAAUAAUUUUAUAGUCUUUUAAUGUUUAAUAUUUAAUAUUAAUAAAUGUAGAUAUGUUAAAUUAAAUAGGAGUAUGAGUUUUUUCUACUGUUUCAUUAAAGAGGAAAGAUAUUUACAAGUAUAAUUUAGAUGUGGGUUUGAAAUAGUAAAAAAUAAAAAUAAAAUAAGUGCCUUCUAAAAACAAGGGAGCUAGUAAAGAAAUCUGUAUUGAUUUUCAACAUUUCAUGAUUGCAAUCUUUUUUUCUUUUUCCAUUAAUUUAUUGUGGAUGUUUUCCCCCUUCCGAGUUUUAUUUUUUAAUUGCUUAACCAUGUUGAGGCUUGUUUGGGUGACUGCAUUAUUAUGAGCAAAGAGCUGCUUAGCUUUUUUAUUAUAUAUAAUAACUAAUUUCAGUUCUUAGUGUCUUCUUAAAAUUUAAAUUAAUGGUUCUUAUUUUAGGAUGUGAAUUUUUAUCUUUCGAGUAAUAAUGAACUUAUAUGGUAAUAAAUAUGCAUAGCGAUCUUUCCAAUAACUUCCUCAAUGGCUCCAUACCUCUAUCUUUGGAAAGUUUGUCAUCUCUCGAAAUUAUGUAAGUAUCAUCCAAUCACAAUCUUUUCAGUAUCAUAUAAUGUGAAUUAAAUUUUUUUUUGAUUACUGAUACAAGUUUUGUGCUCAUAUUCUUGUGGGUGUUUAUAGGUAUUUUAUUAAUUUUGGUUUUUUUUUCUGAAAAAUCCCAUGUCCAAUUUUUAUAGAUUAUUAUGUUUUUCCUAAUCAAGUAUUUAGAUUUCAUGCUUUAAUUAAGACUAAAUCUAUUAUUUCUAAUAUAGUUAAAAGCAAAUUAUCCAUAAUCAAGAAUUCAAGAUUUAAAAGAAAAAAUUGGCACUGACCAAAAAGUUCGACUUGGGUAUCGAAGAACAUCCAUUUUUAUAUGAAUUAUAGGAGAACAUCUUGGAUAUUUGGGGUUGAUUUUAUAUCUUUGCUGUUCUUUUAAAAAAUAAUAUAUAAUGGUAAGAAAAAAAGCAUACAAUUACUAACUUCUAUGAAAAUAUAGUCUCAAUAUAUAUAUUAUCUUUCGAGUAAUAAUGAACUUAUAUGGUAAUACAUAUGCAUAGCGAUCUUUCCGAUAACUUCCUCAGCGGCUCUAUACCUCUAUCUUUGAGAAGUUUGUCAUCUCUCGAAUACAUGUAAGUAUCAUUCAAUCACAAUCUCUUCUGUAUCAUGUAAUGUGAAUUAAAUUUUUUUUUUUAUUACCGAUACAAGUUUUGUGCUCUUAUUCUUGUGGGUGUUUAUAGGUAUUUUAUUAAUUUUGGCUUUUUUUUUAGAAAAAUCCCAUGUCUAAUUUUUAUAGAUUAUUAUGUUUUUCCUAAUCAAGUAUUUAGAUUUCAUGCUUUAAUUAAGACUAAAUCUAUUAUUUCUAAUAUAGUUAAAAGCAAACUAUCCAUAAUCAAGAAUUCUAAGAUUUAAAAGAAAAAAAUUGGCAUUGACCAAAAAGUUCGACUUGGGUAUCAAAGAACAUCCAUUUUUAUAUGAAUUAUAGGAGAACAUAUUGGAUAUUUGGGGUUGAUUUUAUAUCAUUGCUGUUCUUUUAAAAAAUAAUAUAUAAUGGUAAGAAAAAAAGCAUACAAUUACUUACUUCUAUGAAAAUAUAGUCUCAAUAUAUAUAUUAUCUUUCGAGUAAUAAUAAACUUAUAUGGUAUUACAUAUGCAUAGCGAUCUUUCCGAUAACUUCCUCAAUGGCUCCAUACCUCUAUCUUUGGGAAGUUUGUCAUCUCUCGAAUACAUGUAAGUAUCAUCCAAUCACAAUCUCUUCAGUAUCAUAUAAUGUGAAUUAAAUUCUUUUUUUUUUAUUACCGAUACAAGUCUUGUGCUCUUUUCUUGUGGGUGUUUAUAUGUAUUUUAUUAAUUUUGGCUUUUUUUUAGAAAAAUCCCAUGUCCAAUUUUUAUAGAUUAUUAUGUUUUUCCUAAUCAAGUAUUUAGAUUUCAUGCUUUAAUUAAGACUAAAUUUAUUAUUUCUAAUAUAGUUAAAAGCAAACUAUCCAUAAUCAAGAAUUUCUUAAAAACAAAUUGGCACUAACCAAAAAGUUCGACUUGGGCAUCGAAGAACAUCCAUUUUUAUAUGAAUUAUAGGAGAACAUCUUGGAUAUUUGGGGUUGAUUUUAUACCAUUGCUGUUCUUUUAAAAAAUAAUAUAUAAUGGUAAGAAAAAAAGCAUACAAUUAAUAUCUUCUGUGAAAAUAUAGUCUCAGUAUGCGUUGUCAGAAUACAUAUAUAUAUAUAUAUAUAUAUAUAUAUAUAUAUAUAUAUAUAGAAACUCCUAUAUAUGUAUAGAAACUCGCUCGCUCUUUCAUUCUCCUUGAAUUUCCUUUUAACUUAUUGAGUUUGGUUUGGUUAUUAUCUCUUAUUUAAUUAGGUACUUGGACUUCAAUGAACUCACUGGUCACCUUCCACCAGAACUUGGAAGAUUGGGAUCUCUUUGUUAUUUGUAAGUUUCAAAAAGAAGAAUAAUAAUGUCAACUUUUGAUUGUAAUAGGAGAAAUAAAACAGAAAAAAGGUGGAUAUACAACAACCCUUUUGAUUUGUUGUUGUAGAGGGUUGGGCUCCAACAAUUUGAAUGGACCACUGCCGGAAAAUUAUGCCAACUUUACGGAAAUGCAGUGGUUGUAAGUGCAACUCAUCAUGUUAUUUCAACCAACAAUCUGUUUAAUUAUUGUUCCAAGGAAAAGCAACUAACUAUGGCUUGGCUGCAGUAGCGUAGCUGGGAACCGUUUGACCGGUCAAGUACCAAGUUUCAUUGCGAAUUGGACUGAACUCUCUUACCUGUAAGAAAAUAUUUGAUUGAGAAACUGUCGAUGAUCGAAGAAUAUCAUUCAAUGAUUUGUGUUUUUGUGUACUGAUGACAGGUUCCUCUCCGGAAAUGAUUUUGAAGGAGAGCUGCCUCUUGAACUUCUUUUUAACAUGUCAUAUCUCGAAUACUUGUAAGUGCUCUAUAAUUUUAACCGGGUUGAAAUAAAUGCAUGUUUUUAUUCUGGAUGGUUUUUCUUCCAGGAUGGUUAGUGAUGUAAGAAGCUCGGCCGGUUUCCCUUUCCCAAAAUAUGCAAAUAUGAAGGAAAUAACUUUCCUGUGAGUUUUUCCUUCCUUUGCUUUUCUUUAAAGCUCACACUCGAAAAUCACAUAAAUAAUUAUCAAGGCUUUAAGUAAUAAAAAUAUAAAACUAGUUAUUAAACCCCAAAAUACAUACCAAAAUAUAUUCUUGAAAUUUCAUGUCAAAUACAUACGAUUUUAUCAUAGGCAAAUAAAAAAAUAUAUUUAAUUCUUUUUGUUUUUUAACAUUCAAAAAACAUAAAAGAAAAUACCCACAAACACACACUCCCAACCAAACAUUCUAAUUUACUCACCCACUCCCAGUUUCAAGUUUCCAAUGUAACAAAAAUUAAAAUUGCUUACAAUAAUUUAAAUACACAUUUCGAAAUCUACAAAUUACAAAAUAGACUCAGGAACAGUGCUGGAAACGGCUGAGAAAAACAAGGAAACAGGGGGGUGAUCUGGAAUGGCAUCUAUGGUCGAAUUACAGAGAGGCAGAGGUGGCUGAGUGAAGGAGAGAGAGCUGGGUCUCGGUUUAGCAGAGAAGGGGGCGGCUGAAAGAGCAGAGGGGUGGUACUAUCGGUGGAUCUGGAGGGCCUGGUUCGGGUCUGUGGAGGAUGGUCUGUGAAGGCCGGUGAUGGGGCUGUUGGGUCAGCUGUCAGAGAUCGGGAAAGGAAGAUGACGAAGUGCAGUGGGCGCCUUUGUGGUUGUGGUGGGGAGCUGGAAGGUUGAUGUUGUGGCCGGGGGAAGAAUGGGCUUGGGUUCCGUGAGAGGGAGGGGAGACCUGGUUCGGUCGGCGGUGGAGAAGGAGAGGGAGAAGUUGAAACAACCAGCGAGAGGGGAGAGUCAGGGUAAACGGCUCUGCCCUCUUUUGGUCUUGGCGAGCUGGCGGCUAGUUCAGGAGGGAAGGUUUGGUGAGGGAGAAGAAGAUGGGGACGGCUGUGGCUUAGACAUGGAGAGCGGCAGCUGGAGGAGGGGAGGGGAUUAGGAUUAUUUUUUUGUGGUUUCUUAAUUAUUAUUUUUUCAAAAUUGCCCCUAUUGUGUGUUGAGUGACUUAUUUAUAAAUAGAAUAUGGUUAGGUCUCAAUUGUUCCUCAAUUUCUUUUCUUUCUUUUUUUUAAUUUUUUAAUUUACAAUUUUUGAAAAAACCAAGUAACCAAGUAAUAUCACUUAAUAAAAAAAAUCAAUUAUUUAAAAAAUAACACGUUAAAAACCAAACCAAACACAUUCAAAAUUUUUUUAAAAAAUUUAAAUUAUUUUAAGACAAUAUUGAAAAUACUAAAAACAAUGUAAAUAUAUUAAAAAAAAAUUUAGUUUUUAUUGUUUUCUUGUUAUAUUUGCUUUUGUUUUAUUUUAAAAUAUUAGAUCAAAAAAUUAGAUAUCAACAAUAUAAAUUCAAAUUGAAUAAUUAAAACAAUAUACACUUAGAAUUAUAUUUGUCUGGGAGCGUUAUUGUUGUAGAAUUUGAAUUACGACCAAUCUUUUACAUAAAUAUAUUUGUAGGCCUAUUUUUCUUUAUAUGAUCUUGAGUUUUUUUUUUUUUAUGAGCUAUUACAUGCUGUGAAGACCAGUUGUAUCUGGGAUUCAGGUUUGAGAAUUCUUUAUAUAUAUAUAUAUAUAUAUAUAUAUAUAUAUAUAUAUAAUUACGACUACAGGCAUAACAGAAUCAUGAAGUCACAAUAUUUAUGUAUGUGAGUCUUAAAGAUAUGUAUGCAUUGGAUAAAUCCAAACACCAACUUCUUCAAUUAUUUGUGUAGGAUGAUAAGGAAUUGCUCAAUAAGUGGUGAAAUCCCCCGGUACAUCGGUGAUUGGUCAUCGUUAACAUACCUGUAAGUUUCAUUUCCUCUUUUGUAAAGGAUUUGUAGUUCUGUCAUGGCUAUUUUGUUUCAUCAGCUCUAUAAAUACUCAUUGUUUAGGGCCAUUAGGCCAUGCAUAGAAGUGUUGAUGAUUUUGAUUAUGUUUUUACAGAAUCAGCUAUGCAAUAAUUUACCAUAGCACAACUAUAUAUCAAAUAUGUAGGAUAACGUUUGCUUUCAUUUUAUUGAUCCUGCAGAGACUUGAGCUUUAACAAUUUAACAGGUGGAAUACCAGAUUCCAUGAAAAAGCUGAAUUUAAGUAAGAUGUAUGAAAAAGAGAUUCCUUGAACUCGAUGUCUUAUAAUAAGAUCGUUCUGCCACUCUGUUAAAAAGUACAUGGGAUGGUUUUCAUACUGGUUUGUUUUGUUUAGGUUUCUCACAGGAAAUAUGCUUAAUGGCACAGUACCUGCCUGGCUUCCUCAUACCAUUGUGCACAAGGCGUAUGUUAUGGCUUUGUCCUCUUUGCUCAGAUGGGUUGUUUUCCCUUUUGUAGAUUGCCUCAAUAAAAUCUUGAUAUGUAAACAAUAAUGUUGCAGGGACUUGUCAUAUAAUAAUUUUGAAAUUCCACCUGAUGGUCCGAAGAAAGGAGAAGGAAAGCUGAACAUGUAAUAACGGCUACUUCAUUUUCUUCUUCCUUUUUUUUCACUUUCAAGAAUAUUGUUGUCUAUGAAAUCCCAACUUCUAAUCAUUUUGUAUCAUGUGCACCAACUGCUUGCAUGUUGUUCCUACUCAAGCAGUCAACCAAACAGGUAUGAUAAUAUCCUCCAUAUGGUGUCAUUAAUUUAGAACAAAUGAUCAUGAGUUAUUUCUUACCAAUUUUGUUUGCUAUUUCUAGGACUUCUAUUCAUGAUUUGAAAAAUAAAUGUGCGGGGAAACAGAAGUGUAAGUUCUAUUGAGAAACUCAUAUUUACAUUCCUGAGUAGUUCAUUUAAAUUAUUUAUUGGUUUAACCUUAGGUUUGGAAUGACAUAUGCAAUGUUAGAAACUCUUCUGAAAAUUGUCUGUAGAAUUUAGCGCAGGACAGAUUUUCUGUACUGAUUAUCAUUUUUUGCAGACGGUUCCUUGUAUAUAAAUUGUGGAGGAGCAGACACAGUUUUUAAUGGGAAAGAGUUUGAAGCAGACAGUGCAACAUCAAAUUACUAUGAAGCCCCAAAAGAAAAUUGGGCUUAUUCUUGUUCUGGAGACUUUGGUUCGAAAACUUAUGAUUCCAGUUAUUACAUAAAAAACGUGGAAUGUGCAGUUUGUGAUUCUGCUGGGACACCGUUAUACAAUUCAAGUCGCCUCUGCCCUCUUUCUCUGACAUAUUACGGCUUCUGUUUAUUUAAAGGAAAUUACACUGUCAAGCUUUACUUUGCUGAAACUGUUUACCAAAAUGAUGAAGAUUACUCGAAUUUAGGGAAACGUGUUUUUGAUGUAUAUAUACAGGUAACCGCUAUAUUUUUCUGCAGCUUCUUUAAAAAAUUUCCACCAUUCAACGUCCAUUUUUGGUAUAGGGGAAGAAAGAACUGAAAGACUUCAACAUAAAAGAAAUGGCCAACGGCACCAAUAAGACAUGGACUCAAACUUUCACAGCAUUUGUAGGAGAUGAUCAUCUAUUGACUAUCCAUUUUUUCUGGGCUGGCAAAGGAUCUUUCCCGGUGCCAGAUUUUUCCUAUGCACCUGCUGUCCUGUCUCUGAAUGGACCCCUUGUGGCAGGCAUUUCCGUAACUGCAAGUAAAGAGUUGCAUUUCUUUUAUUUUUGUUGAGCAAAGAUUUCUGUUACACUUUAUCUGGUUAAAAAAAAAUUCUUGGUGUCUUCCACUAUUUGUAUCCAGACUUCAAAGUUGCUGGCAACAGUACUGGCAAGGGACUAUCUCCUUCACAAAUUGCAGGGAUUACUGCAGGUUCAGUAUUUGCUCCUCUACUUCUGUUGGCUUUCAUGUGGAAAAUGGGCUGGCUGCGGAAAAGCGAGUUGGAUGGUACCUCUCCAUGCUAAUCUAAGUUCAUUAUGCACCGCACAACCUUAAGAAUUCUUACUUUGAUUUUUUCUUCAAAUAGAAAUAACUAUUGAGGUAAAAAGAGAUGGAAUAUAUUUCACCCUCAAACAAAUAAUCGAUGCUACUCGAAAAUUUAGCCCCAAAAUGGAGAUUGGAAGGGGACGCUUUGGAAUAGUAUACAAGGUCAGAUUUUCUUUUCUGAAACAUUUGUUCUUCAACAUGCACUUUUUUCUCUCAAAGUUGUGGUAAAUUGAUUUCACGUGUAUACAGGCUGAAUUGCCGAACGAGAUAAAAUUAGCAGUGAAGAAGAUUUCUCCUCAUCAAAGCAACAAGGAAAAGAUGAAUUACAAAGGGAUCUUCAACAUGAAAUCUUUGCAUCAUGAGAAUCUUGUUCAAUUGUUGGAUGGCUAUUCUAUUAAAGACCUGCAUCUGCUAGUAUGACUAUAUGCAUAAACUCCCUUCACCAUGCGUUGUUCGGUAAUACUGCCAUCUCUUUCGGUUCUCAAGUUUUAUCUUAAUUUUCACCUAAUGCAUUGCCUUGUGAAAUUCAUAUAAUUGUUGAGAACUAAAACACGUACAGUAGUAAUAGAAUUCCGUUACUUAAUGUCUGUGAGAGCUUCUAAUUGUAUAUUUGAAUCUUCUGUUAGUACAAGGAUAGUGUACUUGCAAAUAUCAAUAACUUAAUAUCAAUAAUCUUGAUUUGUAGAACCAAAUUCCACGACAAAACUCGAUUGGAAAACUAGAUUUGAUAUCUGUCGGGGAAUAGCAAGAGGUUUGAAGUAUUUACAUGAAGAGAAAAGGUUCAAGAUUGUUCAUGGAAACAUAAAGCCUAGUAAUAUUUUGCUUGAUAACUCUCUUACGGCCAAGUUGUCUGACUUUGGAUUGGCAACGCUUUGUGAUGAGGAAGAUCCAUUUAUGGCCAUCAAAGCAAAAGGGUCGCGGUAAGUAUUAUAAUCAUUGAUUGACAACUACUUCCAUUCUUUUAAUUAAGAGCUAAUUAACCAAUAAUUAAUCUCUUAUUCCAGAGUUUACAUGGCACCUGAGUAUUCAAUGGGAAAAGCAAUAACUGUUAAAGCUGAUGUUUACAGUUUCGGAAUUGUCCUACUCGAAAUAGUUAGUGGGAAAGUUAGUGCAGAUUACACACCAAACCAAGAAGCUGAGUUUCUUCUGGAUAAAGUAAGUGGAUCUUACAGGAUAAACACUUUGUUUUUUUUUUUUUUCAUAGUUAUUAUCAAACCAAACAUGUUCUGUCAACAUCAAAUAACUUAAUAUAUGUGUUACAUUCAACUCAUGAAAAAACAAAAGCUAAUAUAUAGAGAUCGCUCUAAUACUAAGAAGAAAUUUAGAAUAAAAAAAGAUAAUAUUAUUGAAUAAUUUGAUAUAUAUAUUAUAUUCAACUCAUAUGAAGUUAUAUAAUUAUAUAAAACACAUAAGUAAAUAAAUAAAAAAUUAUAUAAAUAGAGUUGAUUGUAUCCUUUAAUUGGAUGAUUGAAAUAAUUUCUUGAUUACCUAGAAUCAUUUAAUUUCUUGAUUUGUGUUUUAUUGAAUAGAAAAUAAUCAGGAAUAUUUACUUGAUUAUUUCCUUAAUACUCGGAGCUAAGCCUAUCUUGCUUUGUAAUUGCAGGCUGGUGUUUUGUACGAUAAGGGAAGAAUCCUUGACUUGGUGGACAAGAGAUUAGCAUCCAGUUACGACAGGAAGCAGGCUCUUACUGUUUUGUUGUUAGCAAUGAAGUGUGUUAAAAUGUCUCCUACUCUAAGGCCUAAAAUAUCCGAAGUCGUCAGUGUACUUGAAGGUGAGAAAAGAAUCGAUGAGAUUUCUGAAGGUGAUGAUACUCCAUCAGCAAAUAUUGGAGGACUGUGCGGUGCAUGUUCCGGGGUGUUGGAAAUAGAGCCAAUUUCUUAGCCAAUUGGCAAUGUUAAGUUUGAUAAUGAAAACCUUCUGCCUCUUUUUUAUUUUAUUAAUUAAUACUCUAUAACAUAGGUGUUGUUGGGUCUAGUUAUGUGGUGGUGACAAGAGAACAUUGAUGUGUGCGUGAGAGACUCCAUGAGAAAAUAUGUGUGUUUUCUUUGUCUGCUAUGAUUUAUUUGUGCUAUUAUGGCUGUUGGUAAUUUCGUGAAUUGAAUAAUAUUAUCAUUUGACAUCCUUUAUAUAUAGCCUAUAUAAAGGAUAAUUUUAUGAUAUUAUCUACUUUGCAAAAUCAUUAAAUUUAUGCAAUUACAAUUUUAAUAUUAAAUAAUGGAUCACCUUUUUAUAUUGGAUAUGAAUCCAAAAUAAUUCCGAUAUAAAAUUUAAAGGAAUCAAUAAAUUUAACAUAGUUAUAAAACUUGAUAUAGAUACAACCAAGAUAAGAGAUUAUAAGUCAAAAAGAUCAUUCUAAAUUAAUUCUCAAAUGUUUUUUUUUAUAAGAUAAAAAUAAUAUUUUUUUAUAAAAAAAAUUCUAGAAAUUAAAAAUUAAGUGUUAACUAGAUUACCAGGUUGACUUGAAUUUUUUUAUCAGAUUAACUAAGUUAUUUAUUUAUUUAACUUGAACUGCUCCCAGAUUCUAAAUUAAUUAUAUUUAAGAACAACUGAUAGAGUCAAUCCAUAUCUAUCUAAGUAAUGAGUAGUAGUAUUGUACUGUCUAUUUAUGAAAAACUCUUAAACUUGGACCAGUUAGAUACAUAGGUAGAUAUAAAAGGUAUACUUUACUUAUUUUUGUAUAACGAAAAUAAAUACAAAUAAAUUUACCAUGCAUAAACAUUAAACUUACCCCAUGAUAUUCCCUGCACAUAUAGCUGUUAAUAUUAAAUUUUUUAUAAAUGGAUUAGAUCGAUUACUGGAUAAUUACGUUAUGCUACUAGCCGAACAAAAAAAAAAUGUAUAGAAAAAUGUUUAGGCAACGAGUAAUAUUCUGAUAAUAUUAUUAGAUUUGGAGAAAUGAUUUAGUUUUGAAUUCUUUUUAUUUAAUUCAAAUUUAAAAUCAAAACUGUCGCACCCCAAAAAAAAAUCAACGCGCGGCAUCGGCUGGCGAUUUAAAUCUCGUUUAUUGCGUUUGCUUGAAUUUGGUUCGUUGGAGUCGCCAUCUAGUAAUUGAUUUCGGGCUACUAGGAAACCGGAUGUACUGGUCUUGCCAAAGAUUCGCGGGUAAGUGACUGGUUGUGGUUAGGGAAGGUAUUAGCACCCCUAACGCACCCUACCUGAGGUAAGCUGCUUCGUGGCUUUGACGUGUUAAAGAAGUUUUAAUAAUUGUCUUUUCUUCGGAAAUUAGAAAUAUCACUUACGUAUAAGUUAAUAAUUCUUAACCGAUCCGAUCAAAAUAUUAAAUUCUUCUUCUAAUAUUUCCAAUUUAUCCUAAAAAACAAAUAUAUAUAAUAUAUAUAUAUAUAUAAAUAAGUAAAAAAAUACAAACACACACAUUCCCUAUUUUCAUUUCUUUUCUUUUUCUUUUCUUUUACAUCCACAAUACAAAUACAAAUUCAAAUACACAAAUAAAUAAAUAAAAAUACACCAACACACACAUCCCUUUUUAUUAUUAUUUUCUUUCUUUUCUUCUUUUUUUUUUCUUUACAUUCACAUAUUACAAAUUUAAAAUAAAUAAACAAAAAUUACAUUAAAACUUUAAAAUUUACAAAAUGGUCCCUCAAAACUCCCGAAAUUGCAGGGAAGGACUUCUGCACCCGAUGACAGUUCCGGCGCGCCUUGCCACUGGCGGCGCGUGGGUUCACGCGCCGCCCAGAAAUUCAGGCGGCGUGAGGGGGCUGCAAUGGCUUCCUCCCCUCUUCAAUCUCCUGCUGCCCGUCACCUGCAAAACGAACAACAACACAAUCGGCAGUCGAUUUUUUUUGUUCUUUUUUUUUUUUUUAAAUCUGCUUCGGAUCUGAUUUUUCGGUCUUCCUUUCUUCUCCGAUCUGCUCCUUCCUCUUGUUCUUCAGAUCGUCUUCCAUGUACUGGCGACGACUGCUGGAGGCCGAAGCAGCGGGUGGCGCCGCUGGGGAAAGGAGCUGCUGCGGUUGGCUUCGGUGGGCGCUGGGUUUCGUCUUCUUCUCCUCUGCUUCGGGUGGCAGAUCGGUGGCUUGGUGGAGAUGGGAGAACGGCUCUGUAGGGAGGAGCUGGAAACCCGAGAUGGCAGGGGAGAGAAGAGGGGCGGCGCUGAAAAAAGGUGGUGUUGUGGUCGGCUGAAGAGGUUCUGGCCGGCGGUGAGAUGGUGUGGGUUUGUGAAGGAUAUAUUAUCAACCGGCUGAGGGGGAGGAGAAAAUUCCAGCCGGUGAGUUGCUGUUUGGCCCGUGGGGAAAAAUCAAAUGCCAGGGGUCUUUGUUUCUCUGGUUUCGGCUGGGGAAGGAGGCUGAAAUGGGGUUGUCGGGUUGAAGAUGGGGGCGGCUUCGGCUGUUGUUUUGGAUUUGUUUGUGGCCGAGAGAAAGGGAACGGCGGAGAAAGAAGAUGAAAACAGGGGGAGGCUGGUUCGGGUGGCCGGUUUUUUUGGGUCAGAAAAAUCAAACCGAGGAGCAACUCCGGGAGACCAAAAAUGAAAACCAGGGGGGGCGGCUGGUGUGAAGGAAAAAGGUUUUUUUUUUUUUAGGGUUAGGGUUUCUGUAUUUUUUUUCUUCUAAAAGUGUCAAAAUUACCCCCCUUGAAUGUUUGAGGGUAUUUAUAGGCAAAAUGUUGCUAGGUUUUUCAACUUGGUCCCUCAACUUCUUUCUUUUUUGUAAAUUUUGAUUUUUCUUAUUUUUUUGUAUUUUUUUGAAAACGAGCAAUAUCAACGUCGACUUAAAUGCGAAAAACAAUGAUUUAAAAAUGACGCGUGAAACGUCGAACGUUUGAAAAUAUUUUAACCAUUUAAAUUCUUUUUUUAGACGACGUUAAAAAUGCUAAAAUGACGAAAAUAUAUUAAAAAACAUAUUUUUGGAUUUUCUUUUUUUCUCAAUUUUUUUGGAUUUUUGAAAAUAUAUCAAAACAUGGGUCAAAAAAUGGGUAGCAACAGAUGCCCCCUCUUUACAAUGCUUACGAAGCGAAAAAACCUCAAAAUUUUGCAUAGUAAGCUUUGUAAAGAAAACAAAAGGAAAAUGAUUUCAUUAUCUUGGGCAACCUGCCUACACAUACUCACUCUAGUCUAUUUUCACGGGCGACCUGCCCACAUAUUGGGUUUACCUGAGAUCCCAUCUGGCGACCUCAUUCAACUGGAACGAAAAUUUUGUGUAACUCGGUUAACCUGAAAUCCCAUCUGGCGAUUCCCUUUAACCAAAGCUACCCGAGAUCCCAUCUGGCGACCUCGUUUAACCAAAACAAAAGAAUGUGUGAAAAAUGGUCUCAUUGUAUGGGUGACAAACCCAAGAAAAAAAUGAUGGUCUCAUUGUAUGGGUGACGAACCCUAGAAAAAUGAUGGUCUCAUUGUAUGGGUGACGAACCCCAGAAAUAUGAUGGUCUCAUUGUAUGGGUGACGAACCCUAGAAAUAUGAUGAAGUGCGGUCUCAUUGUCAUGGGUGACCUACCCGGAUGGAAAAAAUGUGAAAAACGGUCUUAUUAUGAUGGGCGACCUACCCAGAUGGAAAAAAAUGUGAUAUGACAAGUGUGAAAAAUAGGACUUACCUGGCGAAGUUCUGAAGGGAUGACAGAAGAAAGGGCUGGAAGACUUGGUGCUUCCUGAUAAUUCCCGAUCAUGAGGUUUGAAAACUCGGUGUUUCCUGACUGCAAGGGUUGAAAACUCGAGGCUUCCCGGUUGCAAGGUUGAUCUAUUCAUUUCUUUGGGAUUUUCCUAAUGGUAGGGUUCAUCCCAUCGUCCUUUUAUUCCAUGAUCAAACCGAUUCUUUAUUAUCAUCACCACAAUGCUUCUUUCUCUUUCCACCAUCUUACUGGACCUCAUUAAGGAUUUUCCUGUAACAAUUCAAAAAUAUGUGCAGAUGGUUUUUUUUUUUUUUUUUUAGGUUAGAUGAUAUGCAUGCAUCCUUACCUGAUUUGAAAUAAUAGGUCCCCCCUCUUUGAUGCUCCAUCGUCAUAGGGUGCCCUUGUUUGUAUCCCAAAGCUUUCUUUGUUCUUCCGAUGUAUUGGCUCAUUCAUGUGUUAGCCAUCCACUCAGCUGUAAAUGCAGUGCCCAUCCCGGGCGGGCUGUCUUCGACAAUUACUGCUUGCAUCGUUCAUGAAGCUUGACCCUGCCCCCAAGUGUGGUGCUGCUUGAUUCAUCCUGAAGGAUUUUCUCUCCUAGCUUCCUCUGAGAAUUAUCUUCUGAUUGAUUGUGUGCAUCAUGCCAAUACCCAUCAAGAUUGUUAAUCAGUCAUGAACUUGCCUCUAGUUGAAACAGUAUUCUUCAAGCACAUGUUAUCAUCAGCCUUCUUGGAACUCAUCCAGUCAUCCAGACAUGCAUCUCAUAACUUGCAGUACAAAGGCUCAUGGUUGUAUGUUCAGUGUUCUUCUCAAUAGAUUCCCUUCAAACUCUUCUAAUCAGAUUUGUGAAAAGAAAUGUCUCAGCCUCAUCAAUGAUGCUGCUUUUUUUAUCCCCCAUACUCAUGCGGUGAAGCGCUCAUCUGGCUUCAGAACAAGUUGUCCCACAACCAUGUUGCAAAGGAUGACAAUAUGAGAUUGUCCUUUAAGUGCAGCAUUGUUCCACAGUCAGUCUUGGUGGUGUGCAUAUGUUCGAUGUUCAUUCAAAUGCACUCACCCGAUAACAUCUGUCAGGAGCCACAACCAUGUUUCAGAGGGUGACCCAAGAUGAAGAUAUGAAAAUAUCCUUCAAGUAAAGCGUUGCUCAUCAAUUGCUGCUGAAGUUCACUAAAUCAUGGAUUGUCUUUGAACGACAUUGCCCCUAGUUGAUCUGAACAUGCUCAUUCUUCUGUUUACAACCAAAUGGCUUUUGUGAAUGCCAGGAAUGACUUUGAUGGACUUUGAUGACUCAUCAUGUGAUUCUUUCUUUGCCCCCAGCUGAUCUGGAUACUGUUUGUUUUUCCUUUUCAAGGUCUACUGUAUUGCCCCCAGCUGCUCAACUUUUCAAGGAGUGUCGAGGACUUCAAUGUCAUUUCUAUCAACGAUUUUGCAUACUCAAUCAAUGUUCUUCUGUGUUUGAUAAUCUUCCUUGUUCUGGAAUCAACUCUCAUAUUUCAAAGAUCAUGUCUAUUCAAAGUCUAGUUUGUUGAAAUGAAAUCAGAGAUGUCUUUUUGAAAAUCUUUUGAAAAUCAAGCUUUUUGAUCAAAGGCCCAACACAUUUUAUUCGAAAUAUAUAGUCCUUUGAUUGUCAUGCAUUUUGAAAACAGAAAUUGACCCAAUGUAGGAUUAAAAAUGGCUUUUUCCAUGGUUCUUUGUAUCAAUUUGAAUCCUUGAUAUUGGGUAUAUCAUUUGAUAGUCUAUGAUGAGGUGACCUUUGCAUGAAUUUCAAAAAAAACAAAUGCUCAAGUCAAAACUUGGCUUUAUCAAGAAAGGUUGUUUCUUUCUUAUAACUUGUUUUAUCAGCAUGCAUAAUAACCAAUAGCUUAAUUCAUGAAGUCACGACCCUUAUGGAAAAACUCUUCAAGUUUUGAGAGCGCCAUUUAUCGGUUCAAAUUGCUUGCUUGAUUAAAAAGGGCUUUUAAAAGCACGUAAUGCAGGCUAUGGUUCAUGGCUAUGAAAGAAAGGAAUUUCAAAGGCUCAAAAGGUGUUUGAGGGUUUCAAAGACCUAGGAUCAACAUCAACUAUUCAUCAACUCUUUUAUUGUUGUCUUUGUAGAGGAAACGACAUAUAACCUUGUUAACCUCAAAGUUCAGACUUUUCUUAACAUAAGUCAUAAUGCAAAUCCACCUUUCCUUGAUGAAUAACCAACCUUAAUCAUCUGAUAACAUCAAGGCUUUAUAAUGGACACCAAAAGUCACGUUUAUAGCUUAGUCUUUUUCUGGUAUUGACUUUUGUUGUGCCUUUCCUUGAUUGAAAUUUCUUUUGCUCUUCAUAGACUUGAUAGGCGUUCUCCUUCCUUUAUCUUUGACUUGUAUUUAAGUGAGGAAUUUCAACUUCCUUUUUUUUUCUUUUUUUUUCAUAGCCUUCCUCAAAAUUUUCUUAUAUGCCCCAGUCUAUGUGUUUUCUUUUAGCUCUUCUCAAUCAUUGGACUUUGUUCUAAGCCUUCCCCUUUAUCCAUUAAUUAUAUCAAUGUCUCCAAAAUAUCUCUCAUUUGCCCCCAGUGUGGGGUGUGAUCCUAGUCAGGGUUUCUUUUUGAAAGAAAAUAUUUUACCAGCUCAAAAUGGGACUACAAGGGAUAUAAUCUUUAGAAAGUGAAGAGAUAUCAAAGAUGGCCUUUUCUCAUUUCAAGCAAGGUCGGUUAGAACCGAUAAAUUUUGACCUCAUCUAGUGUAAUGAUUUGUACUUGCAAGAAUCAUGAUUCACGAGUCCAUAACUAUUGAAUCCACUACAUGUCAUUAUGCAUACUGCUAAAACUUAGCUAUAUGAUGUGUGGUUCAAUCUUGUGUAUGAGCUCAAAAUUUGUUUGGUCACCUCAUGUCAUUUCAACAAGAAUCGAGUCAUUUCUGCAAUCAAAACACUUUGUCAAAAUAAAAUGUUAAACAUCUGUUGAUUUCAAAACAACAAAAAGACAAAAGUUAGGCAUGUUUCGUUGAAGGAUGAGAUGUGAUAUCAAAACAAAAAUGCAAAAUCCAUAACAAAAAUGCUUGACAGUUUAACUCCUUCUUGGAUCAGCUUCUCUGGCAAUAUCUAUGUUUUGCCGAGCAAUUCCGAUCACUUAUCAUUCUAAAAAUGAUUGAUGACAUCAUCUUUUGCAAAUUGAGCUCGACUCUUGAAACUCUUGCAUCUGUUUACUAAAAUGGUCGAGGACCCCACCAUGACAUCACAUCUCUUAUCUGGAUUAUACCACCUAGAAAUUGGUGGUUGCAUGGGAUUUGUCGGAGUCAAGCAAAAAUUCUAGAAUUUGGCAGGUGUUGGCCGACAAACAUAAGUGGCAGAGGAAUGUCAAUCUUGGCAAAGACAUUUGAGCAAUUGAUGCUUGAGCGAGACUUGACUAGGCAAAGUAACUGAGGUUUCUCAAUCGAGAGUCAUCUUCUGAUGCACCUCUCAUCAUUGUUCUGGAAUCCAUGGCAGAUCCUUCAAUCUUUCCUCUCUUCAUAGCUUGUUCAAUUCUUCGGCCAAUCCUCACAACAUCAUUUCAAUGUUGUUGUGGUUGGUUGAGGAUUGUUAGAAAACUUUCCAAUAGCUUGGUAAUCUUGGCAGCGCCUAGAAACUCGUACUAUCGCCGCUACCGACGUGUGGAAUCACACAUUGUCUCUAUUGGAAGAGCACCUGGUGAAUCUAAAACUCUUUUGUCCCCUCUUCAAUUUCUCACUGACAGUGCAGCAAACAAACACCUAUAGAGGAAGUCCUGCUCUGUUGAAGUUUCAGUCUUCUUCAUGUUUUUCAGUCUAGGCAUGUCUCUUCUCUCUACUCUUGCAUUUUAAUACUGACACUGUUGGAGGAAAAUCAUAGCUGAUCUGAAACUACUGUAUUCCUUCUUGGAUUUCCCAUUUGCAGAUCUACAAACAGAUUCCUGUUGAAAGAGCUCUGCUACGUUGAAGUUUGAAGUCUGCUCGUAUUUUUCAGACCAGGUCUGGAUCUUCAAUGUACUAAAAUGUCUCCGUGCUGAAACUGAUGAGAGAAAUAUUUGUAGCAUAUAUGCAACUUAUAAAUUCCCUCUUGCAUUCCCAAUUUGCAGAGCCAUAAAUGGAUUUUUAUGGAGGGAGCUCUGCCACAUUGAAGUUCAGUGUUUAAUCAUGGUUUUUCAGACCAUCUUGUGCUGCUGAACUGGAGUUGAGCUCAUAAUUGGGGUGGCUUCCAAGAAGACUAAUGCGCCAUGUACAAGAGGCUAGUAGUCGUUUGGUUCCAUUAGAUGAUGUGGAGGCGAUGAACAUUUAACAGUGCAAGUGGGCAAGAACCAGAGUUGUCAUUAGUUGAUGACUAAAGGCAUUGUUGUUGUUGUUCAUGACGGAAAAGGAGAGAUACAGCUUCAAUUGGACAGGAACAAGCAGUGUUCCCACAGAAAACUAUGCAGACACUCUCUUUCCAUUUGAUGCUCAACACUUGUUCGAGCAGAUCUGAGUCCCGCUACUUCACCCUUGAUGCUCUCAACCUUAAUCUGAUAAUGAACCUAUAUCUGACUCCUUUGUUCACUUCCAUUAUCUUUCUUCAAUCUCAUGCAGCACAGCUUGUACAGGGGACCUACGUUUCAGCCCGGUACAUGCAUGAUAAAUGUAUGAACAUGUAAUCUAUAUGAUGAACUCACCCUUCGAGAGGUGACAAUAUGGUCGUAACUCUUGUAUGAUGGACAAGAAUCGUGAUUUUUGCCCAAACUCUACAAUGAAAAUUUUCGGAGCAACGGCCAAUGUGUCACCCACAAGUCUUGAGUUCAAGAUGCUUCAAGAAGGGUUUGCCCUUAUGCAAAAAACGAUAGCACAUACAACCUAAGGACAGGUUCUAUUCAUUAUGUGAACAUGGGUAGGUUUUCUAUCUGGUCUCAAAAGGGUCUCAUAUCUGCCCAGUGACGUUCUUCGUAAAGACAGUAUGGGGGCGUUGCAAAGAAUGGUUAAGGCACGUAUACCCACCAUUACCAAGCAGGCACUCAGAUAUGAGUUGGGUGUUUCACGCAUCUGAACCCUGACCAAUAGUCUUAGGGCAGAUCGCUAGUUCCCCACCUAACCUAGAGGCUUGCGUGUGCUUUUCAAAAUAAAUACAGGUGAUGCAUGAAACAAUUCUAAAAAUGCAUGGAAAAAAUAUAACAAGAUAAAAAUGCAAAAAUUUAAACACAUCAAAUACACAAAGCUUAGUCCAAUAAUGUCAGAAACAAUACCUUCCCCAGUGGAGUCGCCAUUCUGUCGCACCCCAAAAAAAAAAUCAGCGCGCGGCAUCGGCUGGCGAUUUAAAUCUCGUUUAUUGCGUUUGCUUGAAUUUGGUUCGUUGGAGUCGCCACCUAGUAAUUGAUUUCGGGCUACUAGGAAACCGGAUGUACUGGUCUUGCCAAAGAUUCGCGGGUAAGUGACUGGUUGUGGUUAGGGAAGGUAUUAGCACCCCUAACGCACCCUACCUGAGGUAAGCUGCUUCGUGGCUUUGACGUGUUAAAGAAGUUUUAAUAAUUGUCUUUUCUUCGGAAAUUAGAAAUAUCACUUACGUAUAAGUUAAUAAUUCUUAACCGUGAUCUGAUCAAAAUAUUAAAUUCUUCUUCAAUAUAUUUCCAAUUUUAUCCUAAAAAAACAAAUAUAUAUAAUAUAUAUAUAUAUAUAUAUAUAUAUAAAUAAGUAAAACAAAAUACAAACACACACAUUCCCUAUUUUCAUUUCUUUUCUUUUUCUUUUCUUUUACAUCCACAAUACAAAUACAAAUUCAAAUACAAAAUAAAUAAAUAAAAAUACACCAACACACACAUCCCCUUUUUAUUAUUAUUUUCUCUUCUUUUCUUCUUUUUUUUUUCUUUUACAUUCACAUAUUACAAAUUUAAAAUAAAUAAACAAAAAUUACAUUAAAACUUUAAAAUUUACAAAAUGGUCCCUCAAAACUCCCGAAAUUGCAGGGAAGGACUUAUGCACCCGUAUGACCAGUUCCGGCGCGCCUCUGCCACUGGCGGCGCGUGGGUUCACGCGCCGCCCAGAAAUUCAGGCGGCGUGAGGGGGCUGCAAUGGCUUCCUCCCCUCUUCAAUCUCCUGCUGCCCGUCACCUGCAAAACGAACAACAACACAAUCGGCAGUCGAUUUUAAUUUUGUUCUUUGUUUUUUUUUUUUCAAAAUCUGCUUCGGAUCUGAUUUUUUUGGUCUUCCUUUCUUCUCCGAUCUGCUCCUUCCUCUUCUUCUUCAGAUCGUCUUCCAUGUACUGGCGACGACUGCUGGAGGCCGAAGCAGCGGGUGGCGCCGCUGGGGAAAGGAGCUGCUGCGGUUGGCUUCGGUGGGCGCUGGGUUUCGUCUUCUUCUCCUCUGCUUCGGGUGGCAGAUCGGUGGCUUGGUGGAGAUGGGAGAACGGCUCUGUAGGGAGGAGCUGGAAACCCGAGAUGGCAGGGGGAGAGAAGAGGGGGCGGCGCUGAAAAAGGUGGUGUUGUGGUCGGCUGAAGAGGUUCUGGCCGGCGGUGAGAUGGUGUGGGUUUGUGAAGGAUAUAUUAUCAACCGGCUGAGGGGGAGGAGAAAAUUCCAGCCGGUGAGUUGCUGUUUGGCCCGUGGGGAAAAAUCAAAUGCCAGGGGUCUUUGUUUCUCUGGUUUCGGCUGGGGAAGGAGGCUGAAAUGGGGUUGUCGGGUUGAAGAUGGAGGGGGCGGCUUCGAGCUGUUGUUUUGGAUUUGUUUGUGGCCGAGAGAAAGGGAACGGGUUUUUUUUGGCCGAGAGAAAGAAGAAGAUGAAAACAGGGGGAGGCUGGUUCGGGUGGCCGGGUUUUUUUUGGGUCAGAAAAAUCAAACCGAGGAGCAACUCCGGGAGACCAAAAAUGAAAACCAGGGGGGGUGGCUGGUGUGAAGGAAAAAGUUUUUUUUUUUUUUAGGGUUAGGGUUUCUGUAUUUUUUUCUUCUAAAAGUGUCAAAAUUACCACCCCCCUUAAAAAUCAGUUUAGCAUGGUAUUUAUAGGCAAAAAUAUUGCUAGGUUUUUCGACUUGGUCCCUCAACUUCUUUCUUUUUGUAAAUUUUGAUUUUUCUUAUUUUUUUUGUAUUUUUUGAAAACGAGCAAUAUCAACGUCGACUCAAAUGCGGAAAAUCAAUGAUUUUAAAAAUGACGCGCGAAAAGUCGAACGCGUUUGAAAAUAUUUUAACAAUUUAAAUUCCUUUUUUAGACGACGUUGAAAAUGCUAAAAUGACGAAAAUAUAUUAAAAAACAUAUUUUUUUGGAUUUUCUUUGUUUUUCUCAAUUUUUUUGGAUUUUUGAAAAUAUAUCAAAACAUGGGUCAAAAAAUGGAUAGCAACAAAAACCAUGAAAGAGUUAAUUUAAUAUAAUAUAGUGAAUUUGACACGUCUCAGGAUAGCCUAAAUGCCAAAUAAAAACAUAACUUGACUUUGAAAAUCUUUUUUAAAAUAACAAUUUAUUUAUUUUUUUAAAUUGAAAUAAUAAUAUAUAUAAUUAAAUUAAUUUAUUAAAUUCAUGAUAUAAAGUAUUUGUUGUUGAACAAUUUUGUUUUAAAACCUAGACUACCCGAUAAAUCAACUUCGACCCAGUUAAUCUAAUCUAAGACUGGAGCCAUUUGAAUUGAAAAAAAAAUCAGUUAACCUUGAAAACUUUAGCUGACUUGUUUAACUAACUAUCACACCGUUGAUAAAUUUUAUUUUUUUGGAUUUUUUUUAAAUAAUAUUUUUAAAACUAUAAUAAACAGUGCUUUUGUGAGACGGUAAUAGUCAAUUUCCCUCUUUUGUAAUUUUUUUAAUAAUAAUAAUAGAGAAAAUGAAUAUGUAAGAAAAAAUAGCACUGUACUGUAAGUAUUUAGCGGUUAGUGACACGGUAACGACUGGCAAUCUGUUUAUGCAGAGCCCAAAAAACCAUAACCGUCGAAUCAAGCACACAUUUUUACCAAGAUCCCAUAAAAACCCAAUAAUCCAAAAGCAAAAUUGGUGGCUGAAAUCAAGUAAACCGUUAACCCUGUUCGUAGAUAGAAGGCAAAAUCGCUUUCUUGUGUUUUUGUGGGGUUUAUAAAGGGAGGAAAGAUAGGAGUCUGCGUCUCAAAACCAGCUGCCGCAGCAGCAGCAGCAGCCCGGGAGGAGGUAGUGGUGAGGAGCGUAUCGCCACCGCCACAAUCACCGGCGCCGGCAGCGGCAGCGGCAGCGGCAGUAGCGACAAAGGGACAUUCUGGGCUGUUGAGUAAUUCGAAAUCGGGACAUCCAGUGCUGUUGAGUUCGAAAUCGGGGCAGUUAGUGGGUGAUUCGAAGAGGAUGAAGGGACUUUUCAAGUCAAAGCCGAGGACUCCUGUCGAUAUAGUUAGACAGACUCGCGAUCUUUUAAUCUAUGCUGAUCAGAGUUCAGCUUCAUUAUCAGAUUCAAAACGAGAAGAGAAGGUUGGCAGUCUCUUUCUUAUCAUUUCUAUAUAUUUUAUGUGUGCUUGUGUUCUUUUUCUGUUGUUUUCUUUUAAUUAGGUGGAUUUUGAUUGAUUUGAGAUUGUUUGGGGUCUGGGUUGCUUUUCUUUUUUUGCUUUGGAUGAGAAAGGUUCAAUCUUUAUGAAAAAAUUGCGUUUUUUAGGGUGAUUCUUGAUGUCUGAUUGAGGUUUGGAUUAGAGUAUGCUGUGAUAUUUACAUAGAUAGGAAGAAAUAGUUAAUUUGCUGAGUGCUAAUGUGAUUGCAAAGAGGUUAGUUUGCUGGCCAAGUUUAACUUGAAUGUGGUUGGGUGUGUUGUGAGAGGAAUCUGAUAUUACUGUCAACGGGUUGGGUGUAAAGGUUUUAGCUUUUUAGUAGCUUUAGUCGUCAUGGGAGUAAAAGUGGAAACUUUGAUUGUAGGUUUGUGAAUUAGGUGUGAUCUGUGGCGCUAUAUGUGUCAUUGAUUUGUUUCAACUAGUUUGUUCACAAUAAAAGAAUUAGAUUAGUGUUGAUGAAUUUUGGUGAGUGUAGAUGUAAGAUUGCGAUGAACAUGCAUUAGUGUCGCUGUAUAAUUUCUUGCUUUUGUUGCAUGUUUUGAUAAGUUAUUUUCUUGAGUAGGGCUACUGGGGCAUUUAAGCUUCUGUCAAGCAUUUUAUUUGUGGAAUUCGAAUUUGACUAUUGUAUUUUCUAAUACAGAUGGCAGAGUUAGCUAAAAAUAUCAGGGAGUUAAAGUCAAUUCUUUAUGGCAAUAGUGAGUCUGAACCGGUGUUAAAAAUCAACAUGUUAAAAAUCAAAUACAUUCAAAAAACUUUUAAAAAUUUAAAUUAUUUUGAGACAACAUUAAAAAUGCUAAAAACAAUGUAAACAUAUAAAUAACAUAUUUUUUUGAGUUUUUAGUGUUUACUUAUUUAUUUAUUGUUUUUUUUUUAAGUGUUAGACGUAAAUUCAAAUUAAAUAAUAAAAACCAUAUACACUUAGAAUUAUAUUUGUCUGGGAGCGUUAUUGUUGUAGAAUUUGGAUUAUGACCGAUCUUUUACAUAAAUAUAUUUUUAGGCCUAUUUUUCUUUAUAUGAUCUUGAGUUUUUUUAUGAGCUACAUGCUGUGAAGACCAGUUGUAUCUGGGAUUCAGGUUUGAGAAUUAAAAAAAAAAAAAAUAUAUAUAUAUAUAUAUAUAUAUAUAUUAAUUACGACUAUAUGCAUAACAGAAUCAUGAAGUCACAAUAUUUAUGUAUGUGAGUCUUACAGAUAUGUAUGCAUUGGAUAAAUCCAAACACCAACUUCUUCAAUGAUUUGUGUAGGGUGAUAAGGCAUUGCUCAAUAAGUGGUGAAAUCCCCCGGUACAUUGGUGAUUGGUCAUCGUUAAAAUACCUGUAAGUUUCAUUUCCUCUUUUGUAAAAGAUUUGUAGUUCUGUCGUGGCUAUUUUGUUUCAUCUAUAAAUGCUCAUUGUUUAGGGCCUUUAGGCCAUGCAUAGAAGUGUUGAUGAUUUUUGACUAUGUGUUUACAGAAUCAGCUAUGCAAUAAUUUACCAUAGCACAACUAUAUAUCAAAUAUGUAGGAUAACGUUUGCUUUCAUUUUAUUGAUCCUGCAGAGACUUGAGCUUUAACAAUUUAACGGGUGGAAUACCAGAUUCCAUGAAAAAACUGAAUUUAAGUAAGAUGUAUGCAAAAGAAAUUCCUUGAACUCGAUGUCUUAUAAUAAGUUCGUUCUGGCACUCUGUUAAAAAGUAUAUGGGAUGGUUUUCAUUCUGGUUUGUUUUGUUUAGGUUUCUUACAGGAAAUAUGCUUAAUGGCACAGUACCUUCCUGGGUUCCUCAUACCAUUGAAGACAAGGUGUAUGUUAUGGCUUUGUUCUCUUUGCUCAGAUGGGUUGUUUUCCCUUUUGUAGAUUUCCUCAAUAAAAUCUUGAUAUGUAAACAAUAAUGUUGCAGGGACUUGUCAUAUAAUAAUUUUGAAAUUUCACGUGAUGGUCCGAAGAAAGGAGAAGGAAAGCUGAACAUGUAAUAACGGCUACUUCAUUUUCUUCCUCCUUUUUUUUCACUUGCAAGAAUAUUAUUGUCUAUAAAAUCCCAACUUCUAAUCAUUUUGUAUCAUGUGCACCAACUGCUUGCAUGUUGUUCCUACUCAAGCAGUCAACCAAACAGGUAUGAUAAUAUCCUCCAUAUGGUGUCAUUAAUUUAGAACAAAUGAUCAUGAGUUAUUUCUUACCAAUUUUGUUUGCUAUUUCUAGGAAUUCUAUACGUGAUUUGAAAAAUAAAUGUCGGGGAAAACAAAAGUGUAAGUUCUAUUGAGAAACUCAUAUUUACAUUCCUGAGUAGUUCAUUUAAAUUAAUUAUUGGUUUAACCUUAGCUUUGGAAUGACAUAUGCAAUGUUAGAAACUCUUCUGAAAAUUGUCUGUAGAAUUUAGCGCAGGACAGAUUUUCUGUACUGAUUAUCAUUUUUUGCAGACGGUUCCUUGUAUAUAAAUUGUGGAGGAGCAGACACAGUUUUUAAUGGGAAAGAGUUUGAAGCAGACAGUGCAACAUCAAAUUACUAUGAAGCCCCAAAAGAAAAUUGGGCUUAUUCUUGUUCUGGAGACUUUGGUUCGGAAACUUAUGAUUCCAGUUAUUACAUAAAAAACGUGGAAUGUGAAGUUUGUGAUUCUGCUGGGACACUUCUUUACAACUCAAGUCGCCUCUGCCCUCUUUCUCUGACAUAUUACGGCUUCUGUUUAUUUAAAGGAAGUUACACUGUGAAACUUUACUUCGUUGAAACUGUUUACCAAAGUGAUAAAGAUUACUCGAAUUUAGGGAAACGUGUUUUUGAUGUAUAUAUACAGGUAACCGCUAUAUUUUUCUGCAGCUCCUUUCAAUAAUUUCCACCAUUCAACAUCCAUUUUUGAUAUAGGGGAAGAGAGCACUAAAAGACUUCAACAUAAAAGAAAUGGCCAGUGGCACCAAUAAGACAUGGACUGAAAGUUUCACAGCAUAUGUAGGAUCUUUCCAAUUGCCAGAUUUUUCCAAUUUACUUGCUGCCCUGUCUCUGAAUGGACCCCUUGUGGCAGGCAUUUCCGUAACUGCAAGUAAAUAGUUGCAUGUCUUUUAUUUUCGUUGAGCAAAGAUUUCUGUUACACUUUAUCUGGAUAGAUAAUUUUUUCUUGUUGUCUUCCACUAUUUGUAUUCAGACUUCGAAGUUCCAACUGGCAAGGGACUAUCUCCUUCACAAAUUGCAGGGAUUACCGCAGGUUCAGUAUUUGCUCCUCUACUUCUGUUGGCUUUCAUGUGGAAAAUGGGCUGGCUGCGGAAAAGCGAGUUGGAUGGUACCUCUCCAUGCUAAUCUAAAAUCAUUAUGCACCACACUACCUUAAGAAUUCUUACUUUGAUGUUUUCUUCAAAUAGAAAUAACCAUUGAGGUCCAAGGAAAAUCUUUCACCCUCAAACAAAUAAUCGAUGCUACUCGAAAAUUCAGCCCCAAAAUGGAGAUUGGCAGGGGACGCUUUGGAAUAGUAUACAAGGUCAGAUUUUCUUUUCUGAAACAUUUGUUCUUCAACAUGCACUUUUUUCUAUCAAAGUUCUGGCAAAUUGAUUUCACGUGUAUACAGGCUGAAUUGCCGAACGAGAUAAAAUUAGCAGUGAAGAAGAUUUCUCCUCAAUCAAAGCAACAAGGAAAAGAUGAAUUACAAAGGGAAAUCUUCAACAUGAAAUCUUUGCAUCGUGAGAAUCUUGUUCAAUUGUUGGAUGGCUAUUCUAUUAAAGACCUGUAUCUGCUAGUAUAUGACUAUAUGCAUAAAGGCUGCCUUCACCAUGCGUUGUUCGGUAAUACUGCCAUCACCCGAUUUUCAUCCUGCUCUUUCACCUAAUGCAUUGCCUUGUGAAACUCAUGUAAUUGUAUAUUUAAAUCUUCUGUUAGUACAAGGAUAGUGUACUUGCAAAUAUCAAUAACUUAAUAUCAAUAACCUUGAUUUGUAGAACCAAAUUCCACGACAAAACUUGAUUGGAAAGCUAGAUUUGGUAUCUGUCUGGGAAUAGCGAGAGGUUUGAAGUAUUUACAUGAAGAGAAAAGGUUCAAGAUUGUUCAUGGAAACAUAAAACCUAGUAAUAUUUUGCUUGAUAACUCUCUUACGGCCAAGUUGUCUGACUUUGGAUUGGCAACGCUUUGUGAUGAGGAAGAUCCAUUUAUGACCAUCAAAGCAAAAGGGUCGCGGUAAGUAUUAUGAUCAUUGAUUGACAAGUACUUUCAUUGUUUUAAUUAAGAGCUAACCAAUAAUUAAUCUCCUGUUGCAGAGUUUACAUGGCACCUGAGUAUUCAAUGGGAAAAGCAAUAACUGUUAAAGCUGAUGUUUACAGUUUUGGAAUUGUUCUACUCGAAAUAGUUAGCGGGAAAGUUAGUGCAGAUUACAUAACAAACCAAGAAGCUGAGUUUCUUCUGGAUAAAGUAAGUGGAUCUGACAGGAUAAACCCUCUUAGAUUUUUUUUUCCCGUAGUUAUUAUCAAACCAAACAUGUUCUGUCAAUAUCAAAUGACUUGUGAAUUCUACAUCAAGCUCACAAAAGAAAUUUACAAAAAAAAAGAUAUUAUUAUUUGAUAAUUUAAAAUAUAUAUUACAUUAAACUCAGGCAGGAUUUAUAUAAUCAUAUAACAAGACACAUAAAAAAUAAAAUAAAUUAUAAAAAAAUAUGUUUGAUUAGAUAAUUGAAAUUAUUUCUUAAUUUGCCAAGAGUUGUUCAAUUCUUUCAUCUCAUCCUUUUCUUGAUUACAAAAUAAUCAAUAAUAUUUACCUUCUUGAUUAUUUUCUUAGCACACACCUCAAACUCUUUAUAAUUUUUUUUUUCUUGAGUUCGACUAAUACUUCUAUUCUCAUUGUAUGCUUAUCUUCAACAAUUAUAUUUUUAUAAACAUGGCUAUUCUUAGUUUUUUUAUUAUUCUCUUAUUAUUAUUGUUAUAUUUCUAUAGCCAAACAUCUCUUUUUGAAAUUUAGCUUUUUAAAUAUAUAUUUUAUUUUGGCUUACUCUUCAUCAAACUAAUAUCUUCUUUUUAUCAUGAUUCAUCAGCUAUUUUCCAUCUCCUUCGAUAGAAAGAGCUAACUCUUCUUUUUUAUAGGUGGUCUCUUUUGAAUAUCGCUUAUGCAAAAACUUAUCUGCACCAAAUCUCUCUCCGUCUUUCUCUCUGUCUUUUUUUAAUUUCCUUCUCUUGAUGAAGAAUCUCAAUUCUCUUGUUGGGCUUUCUUAGGAAAAACUAUCUCUCUUUUUUAAUUCUUUGGAUGUUAUUUGGUCAUCCACAUGAUCUUGUGAUUUCUCUUUAUCAUGAGUCAAUUUAUCAUUAAAAAGGAAAAGUAAAUAAAAUAUUUGGUAGAUGAUAAAGAGAUGGAAAACAAAGUGUUUUAAAAUAAUCAGAUAUAUGGCAUAAAAUCAUCCAUCAAAAAAGAAAAAGCUAAUAUUUAGAGUAGUAUAUGAUCGACCUACUCUGAAACCGAAAAAAAAUUAAUUUAGAAUAAAAGAGGAUAAUAUUAUUUGAUAAUUUGAUAUAUGAUAUAUGUGUCACAUUUAACUCUAGUGGAGUUUAUAUAGUUAUAUAACAAGGCACAUAAGUAAAUAGAAUAAAAUAAAUUACAGAAAAUGUGCUUGAUUAUCUUCUUCAAUUGGAUGGUUGAAAUAAUUUCUUGAUUUUUUGAUUUUUUUUAUUGAUUAGAAAAUAAUGAGUAAUAUUUACUUGAUUAUUUCCAUAAUACUCGUAGCUAAGCUAAUCUUGCUUUUCAAUUGCAGGCUGGUGUUUUGCACGAUAAGGGAAGAAUCCUUGACUUGGUUGACAAGAAAUUAGCAUCUAGUUACGACAGAAAGCAGGCUCUCACUAUUUUGCUGUUAGCAAUGAAGUGUGUUAAUCUGUCUCCUACUCUCAGGCCUAAAAUGUCCGAAGUCGUCAGUGUACUUGAAGGUGAGAAAAGAAUUGAAGAGAUUUCCGAAGCUGAUACUUCAUCAGCAAAUAUUGUCCUUCCAGGGUGUUGGAAAUAGAUCCAAUUUCUUAGCCAAUUGGUAACGUUAAGUUUGGUGAUGAAAACCUUCUGUUUCUUUUUUAUUUUGUAAUUACUUGGGUCUAAUUAUGUGGUGGUGUCAAGAGAACAUUGAUGUGUGUGUGAGAGACUCCAUGAGAAAAUAUGUGUGUUUGCUUUGUCUGCUAUGAUUAAUUUGUGUUGUUAUGGCUGCUGGUAAUUUCGUGAAUUGAAUAAGGAAUUGAUCAUUAGAUUUUACGAAAAUGUAUAGAUUUUAUUGAUC